AUGGAUAAGUCGUUCCAGUAAAACUGUAAAAAAAGCAUCUUCAUUGAUUGCUAUCUAGGUUCCUUUAAAUUUUACUUCAACUGAACGGUUCUAUUUUCUCCUUCCAUUUCUCUGUUUUCUCUGAGUGGUAAAACAUGAUACGCUUCACAUAAAAAAGUUGCUUCCUUUUCUCCCUUUUUCUCUUCGUUUCUGUCGGUUUCGGAAACUCCCACACUUAGCAAACAGUAAGUGCUAUAUCAGAGCUGCUUUAGUUUCCUUUUUCGUUGUCGAAAAUGCUUCCCUUUGUGUUAUAAUUUGAUAUUUUAUGUGUUUGCUUCUCGGUUCGUGUUCGUGUUGGCAUUGACAUUGUAUGGGAGGGUGAUGAUCAGAGAGAGCACUUUGAGCAUGGUGAGGUGGUGGUGGCUUGGGGCAAAAGGAGGUCUCUUGCAGAAGAAAAACCUCCCUGAAACGCACCUCUGACGAUAUUGGCUAGGGACAGGACACGCGGAAAGACCCUCGUGAAUGUGUCACAUAAUCUCGGUGCAGCUAAGCGGAUUGGAGUUGACGCUGUGUUUCUGCCGGCAGAUGUUCGGAAAAAAAUUGACAAUAUCGAAACAAAAAUUGACGCUUCUGUCGCUACACUUUCUGAUGGGACAAAAGGAAUUCGAAGACUAUAAAAGAUGGUUUGUGUUGAUGCACAAAAUCAGUGCGGAUUUUGGUACAACAGAAAAUGUUAAGUUUGUGACCUUCGCUAGAUUGCUCCGGUCACUAGUAUGGAUAAGUAUGUAAAUAGAUAGAGACAGGGAAGCAAACACAAGAUGUACGUGGUUCACCCAGAUUGGCUACGUCUACGGAGUAGAGGAGUUCUCAUUAAUUGUGAAGGGUUUACACAAGUAAAUAGGUUCAAGCUCUCCUUUUGUGAGUACUAGUGAAUGAUUUAGUACAAAUGACAUUAGAAAAUAUUGUGGAAGAAUGAUCUCCUUUUAUAGAAAAGAGUAUCUAGUUUUGUUUUGACAUUGACACGUGUCAUGUUGUGAUUGGCUUUUGAUGUUGACACAUGUCGCGCUAUGAUUGGAUUCUGAUGUCGACACGUGUCGCGCUGUGAUUGGCCUCCUGGUUGGAGGGAAACUCUUAUGGGUCCUUGACGGUAUAACGUUGACCGGUACUCAGUAGUUUCGGGAUUGGUCAAGUAUGGUACAAACAGUGCUCCCCUAAGUUCCCGAGUGAGGGAAGCUCCUCGGUUGGGGACUUGCAAGAUCCAAGCCACUGAGUAAUAACGAAACUUCUAAGUACCGAAGUGUGGUAUCGUUUUCAUUUGCCUUAUAUGUCUCAUAGGUAGAUGUGGCAUCUUCUCUGGAAGUAUUUUUCCUCCAUCCAGCGGUGGUAUCUUUAACUAGUGGAGAUGCACAAGGUAAUGUAUCAAUUUGACUUGAAGCUUACUUGUAGUUUCAAGCUUGGUCAAGCGCAAUACAAAUCAUGUAGUAGGAGUCACCCAAGUCGCCUAGCUAGGAGAUUUGUCGAAAGAGAUGACAUACAAGGUAAGCAAUUAGAGUUAUAAGUAAUCAGUCCCAGAUCAAAAGUUUGAUUUUGAGUUCCGGCUGAUUGUUCUCAUUCUCCAUAUCUUGCAUGCAGCAAGAAGGAUAAAAAGAAGAAAAAUGAGAAGAGAUGAUAUGAGAUACUUUUGCUUUUGAAGAAGUAACUUUCCACAGGCUUAUUCUUGAACUGGGCUAGAGGGUUUUCUGGUUUCCUCUAGAGUAUAAGGCCGACUCAAGAAUUUAAGGGUCAAAACAAGCCCAUCAAAUCUAUAGUACGUUCGACCUUGAUGAUAUGAGAUACUUUUGCUGUUGACAAAAUAGUAGAUGUAUCGGCACGUGUUCUGUUACGCUUGUCUCCAGAUGCUUCCUUAUAUCCUUCUCACUUGCUUUAUCUGUUCAUCAUGCAGAUGUGGUAUCUUUUCUGGAAGCAUAAGAUGUUGAAGAUAAGUACUCGAGAGUAAUGCCAGGUAAGUAAUCAGGCAAGGGGUUCCAGGCAGUCAGUUCCUGACUGGAAGCUUGAUUCCAAGUGCUGACUGAUUGCUCUUUUUCUCCUUGUCUUGCAGAUAAGAACAAGGCCAAAGGAAAAUACAGGAAAAAAACAUUAUAUGGUAUACUCUUGCUUUUAACCCUGAUGAUAUGAUAUACUAUUGCUCUGGUGUGGCUUGUUUGCAGAGGUAUUAUCGGGGGGAAAAGAAGCUGAGUAUUUUGAGAGACUCUGCUGAGAAUGCCCUCUCGGAUGUGAAGAAAAGUUGAGCAUUUUUUUUAUUUGCAGGUCUGCCUAGCUGUGGAUGAUGAAUGUCGACAUAUAUAGGAAUUGUCCCAACAGCGAGUGGUAACGUUGUUCCUUUACCCUUCUCGGUCAUAGCAAUGUAGUGGAAGCUACAAGAUUCAGGUGUUUUAACUUUGUUAUAACACUUUGAAAAAGUGGUCUGUGGUAUCUGGAAAGCUAAUGUUACGUGUGAAGAUUGCAAACAAGUUUUAUCCAAGGAAAUCUGGCUUUUGAAGUUUGGAGAGCGGUGCAUCUUCGUUUUUCGAACAAGCAAUCCUGUCGGGGAUCUGGCUUUCGAGAUUCAAAGAACGGUGCCUCUUUGAUUUUUGAGAAAGCAAUCCUAUUGGGAGUCUGACUCUUGAGAUUCGGAGAGUGGUGCCUCUUCGAUUUUUGAGCAAGUAAUCAUGUUGGGAGUCUAACGCUCGAGAUUCGGAGAGCGGUGCCUCUUCGAUUUUUGAGUAAGCAAUCUUGUUGGGAGUCUGGCUCUCAAGAUUUGGAGAGCGGUGCCUCUUCGAUUUUUGAGUAAGCAAUCUUGUUGGGAAUGUUUUCUUGAAUGUGAGUAAAUGUUAGGCAUUUUUGCCAGUCUGCCUUGCCACGGAGCAUGGAGGUUGACACACAUAGGGACUUUCCAGUUAUCAAGUAACGGUGCUGUUCCUUUACCCUUAUGGGUAAUAGUAGGGUAGCUGGACCUUCAAAAUUUACGUGUCUAAACUUUGUCAGAGAUCUUUGGCAAAGUUAUUUGUGGUACCCGAUGAGCUGAUGUUGCGUGUGGGGAUUGUUGACAUAUUUUACUCAGGAAAAUCUGCUUCUCAAAAUCCAGAGAGUGGUGCCUCUUCGAUUUUUGAACCAACGGCCCUGUUGCCCUUUCUUUAUAAGGGCACCAAUUAUGUGCAAGAAGUACGUUCAUAGAGUUAUUGCUUAUAGGAAUUUUCUCCUUAUUUUUGCACUUCAGAGAUUUAUUGCACCUCAUUUCUCCUUCAUCAUUUAUAAGAAUGUUUGGCCCAUCCGAUCGUCGUUUUGACUUGAACUUUGGUGAAGAGGCAGCCAUGCCUUCUCAAGACAACAUAUAGCGCCCAUCGUUCUUAUCCUUUACUGGUCCUCUUACCGUUGGGGACUUUGUGAUGAAGAAUGAUAUGACCGCUGCGGUGGUGGCCAGGAACCUUCUCACUACCAAAGAUAACAGACUACUUUCCAAAUGGUCUGAUGAGUUGGCUGUUAAGGAUUCUCUGGCUCUCAGUGUUCAGUGUGCAGCUUCUGUGUCUAAUAUGGCCAAACGCCUAUUUGCUCGAACCCGCCAAGUUGAAUCAUUGACGGCUGAAGUGAUAAGUCUCAAACAGGAGAUCAGAGGGCUCAAGUAUGAGAAUAAACAGUUGCAUAAAGAGGAAGCUCGACCAGCUGCAGGAAUCUGAUAGUCAGAUUUUACUUGAUCAUCAGAGGUUUGUGGGUUUGUUCCAAAGACAUUUAUUGCCUUCUUCUUCUGGGGUUGUACCGCGUAAUGAAGCUCCAAAUGAUCAACCUCAGGUGCCUCCUCAUUUUGGGGUUCUACCCAAUACUGAGGCUCCAAAUGAUCACCCUUCGGUGCCUUCUAUUUCUAGGGCUUUGUCGACUGCUGAGACUUCUCCUGAGCAACCUUUGUGAAGGCUCCCUCUUGUUUGUUUAUUUUGAUUCAUGUAUAUGUACAUAUUUGUAAUUUAUCAGAGAUAUCAAUAAAUGAGCUUUGCUUCAUUUCAACGUAUUGUGUUAAAUACACCAAAGUCUUCUUCACUAAGUUCUUUGAAUUUUUUCUUUUGUCGAAGCUUGUAUGUUAGCUUUGUGAGUGAAACAUGUAGGUUGAGGUAGUGUUCCCUUAAUUUCCCGAGUGAGGAAAACUUCUCGGUUGGAGACUUGAAAAAAUCCAAGUCACUAGGUGGUCGUCAGACUUCCGAGUAUCAAGGUGUAGUAGCAUAUGGUAGGAGUCCCCCAAGUCUCUGGUCGAGAGAGUUGACGAAUGAGACAUUUCCUUUCUAAUUGGUAGCCCAAAACUCCUUCUUUAUAUUGUUAGGCCCAAAAAAGAUGGAGCCUAGGCAAUUUUUUUUUAUUUUAUUUUUCGAAUCCAAAAUUUUGAAUUUUUGAAUUUCCGAAAAUAUAUAUAUUUAAGUUUUGUAGGUGAAGCUUUGACGUUGAAGCUUUGUUAGGUACCAUGAAUUGAUUUUGCUUCACACUAUCUUAAUCAAGAUAGUGUGAAGCUUUUGUGGUGGGUGAAGCUUUUGUUGACUAAGCUUUUGUAGGUGAAACUUUUGUGGUGGGUGAAGUUUUUGUGGGUGAAGCUUUUAUGGGUGAAACUAUUGUAGGUGAAGAUUUUGUGUUGAAGCUUUGUAGGUGAAACUUUGAAGUUGAAGCUUUGUAGGUGAAGCUUUUGUGUUGAAACUUUUGUAGGUGAAGCUUUGAAGUUGAAGCUUUUAUUGGGUACCAUGAAUUGAUUUUGCUUCACACUAUUUUGAUUAAGAUAGUGUGAAGCUUUUGAGAAUUUGUAGUUGUCCUCCGUUGAUGAAGCUUUUGUUGGUGAAGUUUUUGUGGUGAAGCUUUGUUGGGUACCAUGAAUUGAUUUUGCUUCACACUAUCUUGAUUAAGAUAGUGUAAAGCUUUUGAGAAUUUAUAGUUGUCCUUCAUUGGUUAAGCUUUGUUGAAUUUCCCAAUUUUUUUUUUUUUUGGAAAACUAGAAAUUUGAAAAUGUGGGAGAGACAACAUAUACAAAUUUUGCUUCAACACUGUUGAGCAAGAGAUUGUGAUGCAAGCGACACUUUGUAGUAGUUGAAGGUUUGGAUGAACCAUAUAAAUUGAAUUUGCUUCGAACAGUUUUGAUUAAGAGUGUGUGAAACUUUCUACGAGUUGUAGUUGCUCUUCAUUGAUGAAGCUUUUGUUGGCACCAUAAAUUGGUUUUGCUUCACACUGUCUUGAUUAAGAGUGUGUGAAGUUUUUGAGAAUUGUGGUUGAACUCCUUUGAUGAAGCUUUUGUUAGCACCAUAAAUUGGUUUUGUUUCACACUGUCUUGAUCAAGAGUGUGUGAAGCUUUUGAGAAUUGUGGUUGCCCUCCAUUGAUGAAGCUCUUGUUGGCACCAUAAAUUGGUUUUGCUUCACACUAUCUUGAUCAAAAGUGUGUGAAGCUUUUGAUAAUUGUGGUUGUCCUUCAUUGAUGAAGCUCUUGUUGGCACCAUAAAUUGGUUUUGCUUCACACUGUCUUGAUCAAGAGUGUGUGAAGCUGUUGAGAAUUGUGGUUGAACUCCAUUGAUGAAGCUCUUGUUGACACCAUAAAUUGGUUUUGCUUCACACUGUCUUGAUCAAGAGUGUGUGAAGCUGUUGAGAAUUGUGGUUGAACUCCAUUGAUGAAGCUCUUGUUGACACCAUAAAUUGGUUUUGCUUCACACUGUCUUGAUCAAGAGUGUGUGAAGCUGUUGAGAAUUGUGGUUGAACUCCAUUGAUGAAGCUCUUGUUGACACCAUAAAUUGGUUUUGCUUCACACUGUCUUGAUCAAGAGUGUGUGAAGCUUUUGAGAAUUCUGGUUGCCCUCCAUUGAUGAAGCUCUUGUUGGCACCAUAAAUUGGUUUUACUUCACACUGUCUUGAUCAAGAGUGUGUGAAGCUUUUGAGAAUUGUGGUUAAACUCCUUUGAUGAAGCUCUUGUUGGCACCAUAAAUUGGUUUUGAUUCACAUUGUCUUGACCAAAAGUGUGUGAAGCUUUUGAGAAUUGUGGUUGAACUCCUUUGAUAAAGCUUUUGUUGGCACCAUAAAUUGGUUUUGCUUCACACUGUCUUGAUCAAGAGCGUGUGAAGAUUUCUACGAGUUGUAGUGUUUGCAUUGUUACAGAGGAGAAAUGUCUGAAGUACAUUCAAGAGGGCUGAAUAGCUUGAUUUUCGUAUGCCAUGCACUAAAGUUGUUGUUGGCUUGCAAUAAGACUUCGUUGGUGACUAUAACUCUUGUUGGGCAUAAUUGCUCCCCUAGUUGAGUUGUCAAGCUUGAGGGUUUUUGAUUAUUUGUGAAUGCUAGGAGUUCACAUGUACAAGUUGUACCACUUGUCUUCUGGUAAGUGGAAUGGAUGGUGAGUUGUUUUCAUCACUUGGUUGGUGGUACAAAGGUGAGUUCUUUCAUCACAUUUCAUCACAUUUCAUCACCUGGUUAGUGGCACGAAGAUGAGUUCAUUCUUCACCUGGUUGGUGGCAUGAAUGACAAGUUGCCAAAUGAUAUUAGAGUACGAGUUGUACAUUUCAUCACUUGGUUGGUGGCAUGAAGACGAGUUCCUUCUUCACCUGGUUGGUGACAUGAGUGACAAGUUGCCAAAUGAUAUUAGAAUACGGGUUGUACAUUUCAUCACUUGGUUGGUGGCAUGAAGGAGAGUACGGGUUAUACAUUUCAUCACCUGGUUGGUGGCAUGAAGAUGAGUUCAUUCUUCACAUUUCAUCACCUGGUUAGUGAGAAUAAGGGCAAGGUGUUGAGGCACAUUGUAGCAAGUGUUGAAUAACACAAAGUAUGUUGAACCCUUUCGAAGCACAGUUGGCUUAUUAUAAAUGUGUUGGAAUGUAUGAUUGAAAGAAUAUACUGUGAAACUGUUUGUUUAUUUGUAUAGUCUUGUUGAAAUAUACUUAGACUUUGUUUCAUGUUGGAAGCAUUCAUGCUGAAGCUUUGAACCUGAGUGUUUCAUUGUUAGGAAUGUAAGAGGAUUAGGACCGAGUUGUCUAAAUCACUUCUUUAUUGAAUUCAUGCUAAAAAGUCUUCGUUACAUAGGAUGUCGAACGGUUGAAGCUUAACACUUGUACUAUGUAAGUUUACUUGUAAUAGUACUUCAAGUGAUCAGUGUUCCAUGGAUGACCAAGGGUCUUGCCAUCGGAGCUUUUAAGCUUAUAGGAGUCAGGGCGACUGAUGCCAACAACUUCAAACGGUCCAUCCCAGUUUGGAAAAAGUGUUCAUUUACUCGGGACUCUGUCGUAGAGUAAUCUUUUCUUCAAUACACAGUCCCCCACUUUGAAAGAACGAGGUUUGACCCUUGAGUAAUAGUAGUUGGAGAUGUGCUACUAGUGAGCUUGGUUUCUGUGUUCCUCGACUAUAUCUAAGUUGAGGGUAAAUUGUUUGUCAUUUUCGCUUUGCACGUAGUUCUGGACUCAGAAUGUUGCUUGCUCAAGCUUAACUGGGGCAAUUGCCUCUGUACCAAAGGCAUGUGAGAAUGGGGUUUCUCUUAUUGAUGUCCGAUACGAAGUGUGGUAUGACCAAAGAACUUGGGGUACAAAUUCUAGCCAACAACUUUUAGCCUUGUCCAAGUUGGUUUUCAAAGUUUGCUUGAUUAUUUUGUUGAUGGCUUCAACUUGUCCAUUAGACUGAGGAUGAGUUGGGGAGGCAAAACAUAAGUUGAUGUUGAACUUAGAGCAGAACAUCUUGAACUUAUUGUUGUCGAACUGUCGCCUGUUGUCAGUGACUAUCGCAUUGGGAAUGCCGAAUCUGCAAAGGAUGUUCUUCCAUACGAAGUCUUUUAUUUUUUCCUCAGUAAUGGUUGCUAAGGGUUUCACUUCGACCCACUUUAUGAAGUAGUCAACUGCAACGAUUGCAUAUUGAACCUUGCCCUCCCCUACAGGCAUUAGGCCGAUCAAAUCAAGUCUCCAUUGGGCGAUAGGUCAAGGGCUGAUCAUAGGAGUGAGCUGCUCGAGAUGGGAGUGAGGAAUAGUUGCGUAACAUUGACACUUAUUACAUGAGCGAGAUAUUCUGAUGGUAUCUUGGUGGAGUGUUGGCCAGUAAUAUUCUUGGCGAAAAGCCUUGUGUGCUAGGAAUCGAGAUCCAGUAUGAUCUUCGCAGACUUCUUCAUGUAUUUCCCGAAUGACAGUUUCCGCCUCUACAGGCGUAAGGCAUCUUAGGUAUGGUAGGUUAAAACCCCGCUUGUAGAGUUGGUCAUUAAUGAUCAAGUAACGGGUAGCCUUGUAUUGAAUAUGCUUAGCUUGGACUUUGUCAUUUGGAAGGGUACCAUGAGUAAGAAAUCUAUAAAUCAGGGUAAUCCAACUAUUCCUCUGUUGUAAGUUGCACGCUUCCGCAGCCAUGGUGCUUGGUGCUACCAACAAUUAGACUUGAAUUUUUCUCCCAAUCUUGUCUUCCACCACUAAGGCGAGGCGAGCCAAAGCAUCUGUAUGAUUGUUUGCCGCUCGAGGAAUUUGGGUGAUCUGGUAGUGGAAGUGCUUAAGCAACAAUUGUGUUUGUGCCAGAUAUGCUGCCAUGGAGCUAUCUUUAGCGUCAAAGUUGUUGAUGACCUGGUUAACUACCAAUUGGGAGUCACUGAAGAUAUCAAUUCGUUUAACCCCAAGGUGUUUGGCCAAACGUAAGCCUGCUAGAAGGGCUUCAUAUUCGGCCUCUUUGUUCGACACCUGGAAUUUGAAACAAAGAUAAUACUCCAUCGCCACUUUUUUAGGGGUCGUAAGGACUAGUCAUGCUCUACAACCCUGUUGGUUGGACGAGCCAUCAACAUAUAGACUCCAUGAUGGGGCUAUUGGUUCUAUUUUCUGAGUUUCCGAGGGUAAUGAAACCAUUUCUUUAGGCGAAGAAACAAUGUUAACAGGAUAUGUGAAGUCGGUGAUGAAGUCUGCCACUGCUUGACUCUUCUCAGCUGGAUUUGGUUGGUAGGAGACGUCAAACUCACCCAAUGCUAUCGCCCAUUUGAUCAUUCUCCCGGAAGUGUCAGGACUUUAGAGUAUCUGUCGAAGAUGAUGAUUGGUAAGCAUGAUGAUAGAGUGUGCUUGGAAGUAAGGGCGAAGUUUUCAAGAAGACAUGACCAAAGCUAGAGCUAAUUUCUCAAUGUUGGAGUAUCGUGUCUCCGCAUCUUGUAAGGCUUUGCUAGCGUAGUAGACAUGCCGUUCGACAUUACCAUCCUUUCGAAUGAGAACAGAACUUACUGCUGAAGCUGAUACCGACAGAUAGAUAAUGAGAGUGUCACCAACCUCAGGUUUGGAGAGCAUAUGGGCUUUACUUAUGUAGUCUUUAAGGUUCUUGAAUGCCUCGGCACAUUCAUCAGUCCAUGUAAUGUACUUCUUACUUCCCUUAAGUGCUUUAAAGAAAGGAGUACAUAUGUCUGUGGCCUUAAAGAUGAACCUAGUUAAGGCUGCCACCUUGUCAGUAAGGCUCUGGAUGUCUUUAGAAGUUACCGGUUCUUUCAUGUCGAUGAUUGCUUUGAUUUUCUUAGGAUUAGCUUCAAUGCCUCGUUGGCUUAUCAUGAAGCCUAAGAAUUUACUAGAGCCUACGCCAAAGGCACAUUUAUUGGGGUUCAACCUCAUUCAAUACCUCUUCAGAAUGGUGAAAGUUUUAGAUAGGUUGGUGAUGUGUUGGUCAGCAUGUUUGCUCUUGACUAGCAUAUCAUUAACGUAAACUUCCAUGCUCUUCCCAAUCUGUUCGGCAAACAUUGAAUUGACCAGUCUCUGAUAAGUCGCUCAUGUAUUCUUUAGGACGAAGGGCAUGACUUUAUAAUAAUAUAGUCCCGUGUCAGUAGUGAAGGCUGUGUGUUCUUGGUCCGGAGGGUUUAUGAGGAUUUGGUUGUAUCCUAAGUAAGCAUCCAUGAAGCUAAGGAGUUCAUACCCUGCCAUAGAAUCUAUAAGUCUGUCUAUGAAAGGAAAAAGAAAGCUAUCAUUCGGGCAUCCUUUAUUUAGAUCGGUGUACUCGACACACAUUCUUCACAAGACCUUUUGGAGCAGGAGACUUUCCUUGGUCAGAUUCUUCUUAACAAAGACAACAUUUGCUACCCAUGUUGGAUAAUUGACUUCACGGACGAAGCUUAUGCCUUUGAGUUUUUCAACUUCUGCCUUUAUUGCCUCGUACUGUUCAGCGUCAUAAGAUCUUUGUUUUUGUUUCAUUGGCUUGGUCUUAGGGUUAAUACUUAAGUGAUGACAGAUGAUAUCGAGAGAGAUGCCUGGCAUGUCCUCGUAUGACCAGGCGAAGACCUCAGUGUUCUCUUGCAAAAAAGAGAUCAAUGCCAACUGAAUUGGUGGUGACAAGGUGGUGCCAAUCUUCACCAUGCGAUUCGGAUAAUCUUUUGAGACAGAGACCUUCUCUAACUCUUCAGCGGGUUGUGCUUGCCCGGUGAAAGAGUCAUCUCGAGGAUCGUCGGGUUGACUAUUGCCACCGUGAAGAUCCAAGUUAACUUAGUCUGGGUUGGUCUUUAUGACUUGGUCAUGUAUAGAAAGGGUUUUCUUGGGCAUAUACAUGUGAUGUUGCUUGACCGAAGUGUUGUAAUAUGAUCAUGCACUAAGUUAAUCUCCUCUGAUGUAACCAUUGCCAUAGGGGGUUGGAAAUUUCAUCAACAACAUAUGUGUGGAUACCAUAGCCUUGAGAUCAUUGAUGCUUGUGCGUCCGAAGAUGACAUUGUAUGUCGUUGGGUAAUCAACCACCAGGAAGUUAGUGGUAAUGGUAGCUGUGCAAGGGCCUGUACCAAUAGUGAAAAGUAAGUGUAUGCUCCCCAAAGGUUGCACGAUAUCACCGGAGAAACUUAUCAAAAGAGAAAUCGAGCGAUCGAGCAAGUGUUCAGCUACAUCAAGUGCCCUGAAAGCUUCAGCAAACAUAAUAUUGACUGAAGCCCCCAUGUCUACCAGGAUUCGUCGUACUUCAAAGUUGGCUAUGUGAGCUUCCACGAUCAGUGGGUCGUUGUGAGGGUAGAUGAUACCUUUUUCUUCCUCAGGAUAGAAACAUAUUGGAUCCCAGUUAGGCUUUUGAUACUUGCCUCCCCUGAUGUCUUCCACGUGAAACACUUGGUGGCCAGACCUUAAAGCUCGUUCAUUAUUUUUCAUGGCCCUGUUGGAAGAUUUAGAUAUGGGUGUGCCACCACUUAUGGAAUAUAUCACAUUCACCUGGCGUUGGUUACGGUUACCCCUUGGAGGGUGAAUGAGGAAUUGAUUAAUUUUUCCUUCACGUGCCAAAGCUUCAAUAUGAUCACGAAGGGUGAUACACUUCUUGCCGUCAUGGCCGUUAUGCUCGUGGUAGCAGCAAAAUGUGCCCGUGUUCUUCGUGGGCUUAUAACCUGACUGCCUCGACAUUGGCUUCGGUAUCAGGUGUGCUAUGCUGGGGUAAAUGGCCACACAUAUGGCGUUCAAAGGUGUGUAUGUCUCAUACCUCGGGGUAGGGCCUGUCCUAACAUGUGCUUGGCCUACUGUGUUGACUGCCUAGGGGUGGGCAUUAUCGUGGUGAUACCCUUGGUUAUAGCGAUAGUGUUUCUUACUCAUUUUAUUAAAAUGGGACUGGUGAGGAUGAAAAUAUUUCCUUUUGCCCUAAGAUUGAUAUGUCUGUUGACUUGGCGAAGUAUUAAGUAAGGCAGGAUGAGGCACUGCUACCGUUUGGAAGAUCGAGGUCUUCUCAUUUAGUUGGAUCUGGCUUCCACUCCCUACUUGCUGAUAAGGGGUGGCUGUGGGGGAUUUCCUUUGAUAUGUCCUUGCCUUAGCGGAGACAUGGUUGUAAGCCUGUGCCAUCACAUCAGAGUAAGUCUUCCAAGUGUUGGCAUUGAUCAUGUACUUGACGAAACAAUCACGUAGGCUUGUCGUGAAGGCUUUGAGGGCAGUUUUGUCGUCUGCCUCAGCACAACGGAAAUACUCAUGGCUGAAGUGGCCAGCAUACAUGCGUAAUGACUCGUCUGGCUUCUGGCAAAUAGUGUACAAGUCAUCCGCAUAGUGCAAGCGAUCGGUCUGAAAAAUGUGUUAAGAAACAAAUAGUUUCCUCAAUUCCUCAAAUGAGUCUACCAUCUCAGGUGGAAGACGGCAAUACCAGUUUAGAGCUCCGCCAGAGAGGGUGGAGGGGAAGAGAAACAUCGCUCUUCGUCAGUGUGCAUCCAGUAUGCCAUGGUGGACUCAAAGAGGUUAAGGUGUUCAAUCGGGUCCUCCCUUCCAGUAUAGAAUUGCAAGCCAAGCUUCUGCCUUGUCUUUGCUUGGAAGGGGUGUCGAGGAUCCUCCUUGUAAGAGGGCCAAGCCUAGGUUGGUUUCAAUCAGGUAUCUCAGCUUGUCGUUCGGCCUUCAACUUGUUUACUUCCUUAAGGAGCUGUAGGAUAAUAGGGUCCUGAGUGGAGUCAUGUACCACUGGAGUUUUCUUUCGUAAAUCUCCAUCUCCUCUUGGAAGUAGGAAGGUUUGAUCAAGAGCAUGUGAUUUUUCCCUGGACUCGCCCUACUGACUUCCAAGGUAUGUCUGUCGGAACAUCUCUGAGUCCCCUAUACCUUCGUGUUUCUCUAGGACUUGUUGUCCCUUCCCCAAAUUGGUAGCCGGCCUGGGACAUGGGAGGGGACCGAGUCUUUCAGAAACCCUUGGGUUAUUGAUUUUCGAGCUUACAUGGAUGAGAUUGUCUCGACGUUGCUUUAGAAAGUCUCGACAGUCGCGAUGGAUGAGAUUGUCUCGACGUUGCUUUAGAAAGUCUCGACAGUCGCGAAAGACGGUUUUCGAUCCUUCCACUCCUUCUGUAAGGAGGUGCCUUCCUCCACUCCUCUUGCUUUGGGUCGAAGCAGCUGGGUUGAGAGAAGUCUCAUAUUGGUCGCCAUUUCGAUGAGUAACUCGCUCCUCAACGGGAAUACCCAUGUCGAGGGCAAAUGACCUUCCGUGUUGGGGGGCACCCAAUUGAUCGUUGACUUCCACAUGGGUGAUGAGCUCGUGUGUUUUAAUAUAUCUAGCCUCGUGGAGCAUCUUGAAGACCUUUUCAUACUACUCUUGGAGGAUUUCAUUCUUCAUCGCUAUCUUAUUGUUCUGAGCCUCCAACUCAUCGACUUUAGCCUGAAGAGCAAACUUUUUUUGUUCAUUCUUUCGUUGCUUUGCACCAGGUGCAAGAGGGGUGUCAUUCUGUGUGUUGUGGCUUCCUUUACUCCCCAUGUUGGAAAGGGGUGCCUGAUCAAAAGAGAGUGUACGAAUGGUGGAAACUAGCUUAACAAAGCUGAAGAGAGUGGGAAUAAGUGUCAUUCCCACAUACGGCGUCAAAUGUUGAUGCAUAAAAUCAGUGAGGACUUUGGUUUAAUAGAAAUUGUUAAGUUUGUGACAUUCGCUAGAUUGCUCCGAUCACUAAUGUGGAUAAAUAUAUAAAUGGAUAAAGACAGGGAAGUAAACACAAGAUGUACGUGGUUCAUCCAGAUUGGCUAUGUCCACGGAGUAGAGGAGUUCUCAUUAAUUGUGAAAGAUUUACACAAGUACAUAGGUUCAAGCUCUCCUUUUGUGAGUAAAUGAUUUAGUACAAAUGACAUUAGGAAAUAUUGUGGGAGAAUGAUCUCCUUUUAUAAAAAAAAGUUUCUAGCUUUGUUUUGACAUUGACACAUGUCGUGUUGUGAUUGACUUCUGAUGUUGACAUGUGUCACUCUAUGAUUGGCUUCUGAUGUCAACACGUGUCGGGCUGUGAUUGGUCUCCUGGUUGGAGGGAAACUCUUUUGGGUCCUUGACGGUAUAACGUUGACCGGUGCUUAGUAAUUUCGGAUUUGGUCAAGUAUGGUACAAACAGUUUGAAUACCAUGUAAAUAGAUAUAUAAUCUGCAAGCUCUUGAAAUUAGUUGAAAAAUUAUUUGAAUUUGAUAACAUAUGUAUUUGCUGCUAUAAAACAUGGAAUUUGUGGCAGCUCUGAUCAUUAACCUUGAAAUCUUUGCUCUUCGUUUGCUUGCUUGCCAAAAACGUCCUCAAACAUUUAAUUGUGUGCCGCUUGGUGAUUGUUGGGUGGAUUAUUGUCACGCUCGCAUCAAUGUUGUGCGGUGCAUUUGUUGUCCUCCGCAAGUAAGUACCUUUUGUUAGCUUUUGUAGGAAGCACUUCUAAUUUAGAAGCUUGUACUCCAUGUGACUUUUUCCCUAUGUGGUGCUUAGUGCGGUUGGAAGAUGCAUGUGUUGCCACGGAUGAAUGGGUUCAGAACCCUAAACCUCAUAUUGCAUUAGACGAUAUACUCCCAUGUGGAGACAAUGCCCUGCCCAGGAGGCCGCACUACGUACCAAGGAUGCAGCCUUCGAGCUUGUUACUUUGUGUCUUUUUCAAGUCUGGUAAUAAGCGCUUUUAUUGCAAACACUUCUAAUAUAAUCAUGUUAAAUUUUAAUAAAAGUCCAAGUGUUUCCUAUUGCUUCUCAUAGAAAGUACUUUCAAUUCUAACUCGUGAGAAUGUUCAAGAGUUGUUAAAGGUCGAACUUGGCAUUGCUUUCUGCACAAGGCCUUAGGAAGUACUUCCAAAUGAUUUUAGCAAAAGCACUUACGAGUAAAAGUUUUCUAAAAAAAACAUUCCCCAAACGGCCUAAGACCGGCAUUUUUGUUCCAAGCAGGUAUGAAAAAAUAUGUUUGUGAGGUUUCAAAGGCUGGUACUUGUACAAAAUCCGGCAGCUGGUUGACUCCCACAUUGUAUGGACAAAUGGAAGCUGCAGCAAAUGUGAGCUACGUUCUCUACUGCUAUGAUAAAUUUGUUAGUUUAAGUGUUUUUAGCUGAAAUAAAACAUUUCAGUUUACCUGUUUUAAUUAUAGCCUUUGGAUUACAUUCCAAAUGGAUGCUCUAGAUUAAGUGAGAGUUAAUGAUAUAGAGUGACAACUGUAGCUAUCUCAUAGGAUAGAUGAAAUGAAUGGUUGUGAUGUAUUUUCUCUGAUAUGAGAGAGAAAUGUGCUAAUGCUUUGUAAUGUGAGUGCUUUCGGUAAUGUCCAUUGGAUUGCCAGAAAGAAGAGAAAUGAAACUUCUUGUUCACUCAUCUUAGUGAAUACUCUCUGCAACUCUUUGUUUUCUUUUAUACAAGAAAGCUUCCAAAACAGCAUCAAAUCUAUAAACUAACAUGGCCUCAGAGCCAGGUUGCAUCCUCUGCAACUGGGCGUGAAUCUGUGAAGCUCACAGUGAAGAGCUCGAACUGACCGUUGAGUUCUCACUAAAGAAAACGCGGAGAAGAAAGUGUAGUGAUCUUAGAUCUCGUCUCACAUGGCUGGAUCGAGUGGAGCUGAUCUUCGUGCACCGGUUUUCAAUGGUGAAAACUUUGAUUUCUGGCAGAUUUGGAUGAAGACAAUAUUCCGAUCGCACGAGCUAUGGGAUAUCGUCGAAAAUGGUGUCGAAACUUCGACGAAGAAGGAUGAAGAACUUACUGUAGCUGAAAGCAAGUUAUUGAAGGAGAAUAUAGUCAGAGAUGCGAAGGCACUUGGAAUCAUUCAAGGCGCGGUUUCGGAUCAGAUCUUUCCGAGAAUCGCAAUCCAAGAGACUGCAAAUGCUGCUUGGAAUGUGCUGAAACAAGAAUUUGUGGGAGAUAAACAGGUACGGGCUGUGAAACUCCAAGGCUUACGCCGGGAUUUUGAAUAUACUAGAAUGGGUGAAAAUGAAGCUUUCUCUGCAUAUCUAGUUAGGUUAUUUGAUUUGAUUAGUCAAAUGAGAAGCUAUGGUGAGGAGAUAAGUAAUCAGAGAAUCGUUCAAAAGUUGCUAAUAAGUUUACCUAGGUCCUAUGAUAGUAUUGCUUCUGUGAUUGAAAAUACUAAGGAUCUAGAUAUUGUUGAUGUUCAAGAUGUGGUAGCUAUUCUCAAAGGUUAUGAGCAAAGAAUUGAUCGGCAUGAUGAAUCUCAUACUGAGAAAGCAUUUGUUAGUCUCAGUAUUGCUCCAAAACAGAAUAAGUACAAUGGGAAUCAAGGGUUCAAACCACAGAAGAAUUGGAAGUCUAAAUGGAAGAAAGGAGAUCAUAGACCUGCAAAUCAAACUGGAAAAGUUGCAGGUACUUCUGAAUGAGCUAAGAAUCCCUGUAUUCAUUGUGAUAAAUUGCAUUUUGGUGAAUGUUGGUUCAAAGAUAAACCAAGGUGUCAUAGUUGUCAUAAGUUGGGGCAUAUUGCAAGAGAUUGCCGAGUCAAGAAGGAGAAGACUAAUCAACAUGUGAAUUUUGUUAAUCAAGUCAAUGAUACUCCUACCAUGUUCUAUGUCUGCAAUAAUGUUAAUGUGAAGAAAAAUGAAGAUAUAUGGUAUGUAGACAGUGGUUGUAGUAACCAUAUGACUGGAAGGGAGGAGUUACUGAUUGACAUUGAUAGAAAUAUGACUGCUAAGGUAGAGAUGGGUACAGGACAGCUCAUUGAAGUCACAGGGAAAGGAAGUUUAGUAGUUGAUACCAAAAUGGGAAGGAGAUAUAUCAAAGAAGUGAUGUUAAUUCCAGGGUUAAAAGAAAAUUUGCUCAGUGUAGGGCAAAUGAUGGAACACGGUUACUUUCUAGUGUUUGGAGGUACAACUGCAGAGAUAUAUGAUGAUAGUUCAAUGUCUAAUCUGAUAGCUAGAAUACCAAUGAAGGGAAAUAGAAGUUUUCCUUUGAGACUUAUACCUGAGAUGCAGGUUGCUCUAAAGACUAGUGUGUUUCAGUCUUCUAAAAUCUGGCAUAGGAGGUUAGGACAUUUGAAUUUGAGCAGUUUGAAACAACUCAAAGAGCAUGAUAUGGUGUUGGGUUUGCCGGAUCUUGAAAUGACAAAUGAGAUAUGUGAAGGGUGUGCUUUUGGGAAGCAUUGCAGAGAUGCAUUUCCAAAGGAAGCAUCAUGGAGGGCCACACAACCUCUUGAACUCAUUCACUCUGACAUUUGUGGACCCAUGCAGAUUUCUACAAAGGCUGGAAAUAAGUAUUUUCUCACCUUCAUAGAUGACUGCACUCGGAUGUGUUGAGUUUACUUCUUAAGGAACAAGUCAGAGGUGUUUAGUGUAUUCAAGAAAUUCAAGCUCACAGUUGAAUUGCAAAGUGGAUAUAAAUUGAAGAAGUUGAGAAGUGACAGAGGAGGAGAAUAUGUAUCUGUUGAAUUCAGGGAAUUUUGUGAAGAAAUGGGCAUGGAAAGACAGUUUACAGUGGGAUACACACCUCAGCAGAAUGGAGUAGCUGAGAGGAAGAAUAGAACCAUAGUUGAGAUGUCAAAGUGUAUGAUGAUUGAAAAGGGUGUCCCAUUUGAAUUCUGGGCAGAAGCUGUUAAUACAUCAGUGUAUAUUUUUGAACAGAUGUCCUACCAAGUCUCUUGAUAAGAAGACUCCUUUCGAGGCAUAUAGUGGAAGAAAACCAGGGAUCAAACACUUAAAGAUUUUUGGUUCUGUGUGUUAUGCAUACAUUCCAAGACAGGUUAGACAGAAAUUGGAUGAAACAAGUACAAAAUGCAUAUUUUUGGGAUAUGGCACAUGUGAGAAAGGGUAUAGACUCUAUGAUCCUAUCUCAAAGAAAAUAAUUGUGUCAAGAGAUGUAAUAGUCAAUGAAAAUGCUUGCUGGGAUUGGGAGUCACAAUCUGAGAAAAUCAUCAGUGUAUCCAUACCUGAAAAGAAAUUGUGUGAACAAAUUGUGGAAGGAAAUUCAAGUGAUAAGAGUGAUGAAAAUGAUGAAUUCUUAGCAUCUUCAUCUGAAGCAAAUGAGUCAAUUGAAAAUGAUUCAAGACUGGUGCAAAUGCAGAGUAACACAGGUCCUCAAGACUAUGAUCAUACUCCUUUGAAGUUCAAAAGUUUGACAGAAUAUAUGCAAAAUGCAAUCUGUGCAUUAUUGAGCCUGAGAACUUUGAGGAAGCAGUAAAAGAUGAAUCAUGGCAGAAGGCAAUGGAAGCAGAAAUAGGCAUGAUAGAGAAGAAUUGCACCUGGGAACUUGUUGAUAGACCAUUUGAUAAGCCGGUUGUGGGUGUCAAGUGGAUCUAUAAAACAAAAUUGAACCUAGAUGGGUCUAUACAGAAGAAUAAGGCAAGGUUAGUGGCUAAGGGAUACUCUCAAAAGCCUGGAAUCGAUUUCAAUGAGACAUUUGCUCCUGUGGCAAGGCUUGACACUAUUAGAACUUUAAUUGGGCUUGCUGCACAUAAAGGAUGGAAGCUUUUCCAACUUGAUGUGAAGUCUGCAUUUCUGAAUGGAGUUCUAAAUGAGGAAGUAUAUGUAGACCAACCACUUGGCUUUGUGAUUAGAGGCAAGGAAGACAAGGUUUACAAGCUCAAGAAAGCUUUGUAUGGGUUGAAACAGGCACCAAGGGCCUGGUACAAAGAAAUUGAUUCUCAUUUCUGCAACUCUGGUUUUCACAGAAGUCCAAGUGAAGCAACUCUCUACAUCAAAGCAACUGAGGCAGGAAUACUUAUUGUUUCUCUGUAUGUAGAUGACAUCAUAUACACAGGAAGUUCAGCUGCAUUGAUGAAUGAGUUUAAAACAGAAAUGAUGGGAAAGUAUGAAAUGUCUGAUUUGGGACUAUUGCAUCAUUUCUUGGGGCUUGGAGUCAUUCAAACUGAGAGUUGUAUUUUUCUGCAUCAAAAGAAAUAUGCAAGGACUCUGUUAGAGAAAUUCGGAUUGAAAGAAUGCAAACCUGUUGCAACUCCACUUGCAACAAAUGAAAGAUUAAGCAAAGAAGAUGGAAGUGAAAUAGUUGAUGAAAGUCUUUACAGGCAGAUAGUUGGUAGUUUGUUAUACUUAACAGCUACAAGACCUGAUAUCAUGUUUGCUGCAAGUCUACUUGCUCGGUUCAUGCAUAAUCCAACCAGGAAACAUAUGGGAACUGCAAAGAGAGUGCUAAGAUAUAUUCAAGGCACACUGGACUAUGGAAUUGCAUAUGAAAAAGGCAAGGAUGAUGUGCUUAUUGGAUACUGUGAUAGUGAUUGGGCAGGAAGUGAAGAUGACAUGAAGAGCACCUCCGGAUAUGCUUUUAGUUUUGGUUCUGGAGCAUUUUCUUGGGCCUCAAUCAAACAAAGCAGUGUAGCUUUGUCCACUGCAGAGGCAGAGUAUGUUAGUGCUGCAGAGGCAACUGCACAAGCCAUCUGGUUAAGGUUUGUCUUAUCAGAUUUUGGAGAGGAACAAGUGGAACCUACUCAAAUUCUAUGCGAUAACACUUCAGCUAUUGCAAUCUCUAAGAAUCCAGUGGCUCAUCAUAAGACAAGACACAUAAACAGAAAAUUCCAUUUCAUCCGAGAUGCACUGCAGAAUGGUGAAAUUGAUCUGAUUUACUGCAAAACUGAAGAACAAGUUGCAGAUAUCUUUACAAAAGCAUUGGCAAGAGAUAAAUUUGAGUAUUUGAGGAAGGCUUUAGGAGUGAUUUCAGCUAAACACUUAGAAGGGAGUGUUAGUGUUUAAGUGUUUUUAGCUGAAAUAAAACAUUUCAGUUUACCUGUUUUAAUUAUAGCCUUUGGAUUACAUUCCAAAUGGAUGCUCUAGAUUAAGUGAGAGUUAAUGAUAUAGAGUGACAACUGUAGCUAUCUCAUAGGAUAGAUGAAAUGAAUGGUUGUGAUGUAUUUUCUCUGAUAUGAGAGAGAAAUGUGCUAAUGCUCUGUAAUGUGAGUGCUUUCGGUAAUGUCCAUUGGAUUGCCAGAAAGAAGAGAAAUGAAACUUCUUGUUCACUCAUCUAGUGAAUACUCUCUGCAACUCUUUGUUUUCUUUUAUACAAGAAAGCUUCCAAAACAGCAUCAAAUCUAUAAACUAACAAAAUUCUCGACGAAUCUGCAAACCUGCAGAUUUGUUAUGGUUGCAUUCAGAGACAUAAGUAGUGGGGAGUGUCAUGGUUUGGAAAAGCACAGCAGCUGGAUUUGCAAUUGGGUUGGCAAUGGUGUCUGCAGCUCUUGAGGUCUUCUGGCUUAUCUACGGGAGGGAAAGAAAGCAAUGUCUUUACAUCAAAUCAAAAACUGCUUUCUGAAGAGAGCCAAAGGGAAUUCCAAGACAAGGAGGGUGGUUAUUUAAACAUUUUCGUGUGUAAUUAAGCAUCUAAUUAGUUUUCUAAAUCUGUUUGUUUUUUUUCGUUUUUUCAAGUAAAUUUGAGUGAUUUUAUCUUUAAGUUCUGUUUUUGUACAUUAUGCUAGUUAUCUUAAGAUUUGAUUAGUGUAUUAUGUAGUAGUCCCGUGUUCUUUUUGACACAAACAAUAUUAGAAAGAUAAUUGAACUCAAAACUUCAUGUAUAGCAAUCAAUUAUUAUUGCUCAAAACUCUCAAUGAGCUAAAUAUUCUACAUUAAUGUCACUUUUAGAAGAAAAAUGAGAUACAUAAACUUGUAAUUUUAAGGUGAUGGAUCAAAAGCUAAAGAACUUCUUAAGUUCAAAUAUGCAUUUAGUAAAAUGAUUUUCGCAUAUUACCCUCUUGCACUUCUUCAUUUUUUAUGUCUUCGACUUUUUGUUUAAUUUAUUUAGUCUAACAGCUAGUAAUUAAAAUUAUUUUCAAAUUCAAAAGAAAAUAGCAUGGUGCAUGCGUCCUACCAGCCUCAACAUAUGCUCUCUAUCUUGUAACCAUCAAAGUUUGCAUACUAAUUGCUGCGGCAGAAUGCAGAGUCAUAAUUCGUCCUCGAAUGGCACAACUAGAGAGAUAGAAGAUUUGGUACCAAGUCCAAGGGUUGAUUCAGACAUGUAUUCGGUCAUAAGAAAAUUUUCAAUGUACCGAGAAUACAACUUGAUACAUUAAGUGUUAUAAAAUAAUUGUUUAAAAAUUUAUUUUAAGUAUCUACUUAAUUGUUUUGUGUCACUUGAUAUUUCGGUAUAUAUUUAUGGUAAACCGAAAAGUCUAUCUCAGUCAUGGGGUUUCUGUAGAAUGCAGAUUUCCCAAAGUCCACGGAUUCUGACAUGUUUUGGUUAUGGCCACACCGACGUAAACUUUAUUUUGAUGAAACACAUUAUAAUUGGGGUUUAGAAGAAGAAAAACAAGAAGUAAAGAAGUACUAGUUUUUCUUGGCGAUGGCUUCUUCGUCUCUUCACCAAGCAACGGAAACCGGAAAUGCAAGCUCCCUACUUACUUUCCAACCCGAAACUCAAAGCUCCGGCGAUGGCAUUGAGCUGUUAGCAUGCCCUGUGUGCUACGAACCGCUCAUCCGAAAAGGCCCCCCCGGUCUCAACCUGUAAGUAGUACUUCUCCAUCUGACUUCAUUAACAUCGUAACUGUACCAUUUUGUAAUUUGUUUGUGUUUUUGUAGGCAAGCAAUAUUUAGGUCGGCUUUCGAGUGCAAGAUAUGCCACAAGUUGUAUAACAGCAGUAGUAAGAGCAAAGAGAAAGACAUUUACCUGGAUCUUACUGUUAGCGGUGGAUUGAGGGAGUACAUUGCGCCCAUUCCAGCCGGGACUGACUUCUUCAGAUAUCGCCUCGUUUCCUUCUUGUACGAAAGAGGUUGGCGUCAGUAUUUUGGCCAAAGCGGCUUCCCUGGACCUGAUCAAGAGGUACGCAAUGCGCGCUAUACAUAAGAGUACUCUCUACAUGCACUACGUUCGUAAUACACUUGUUAAUUAUGUCCUCCGUACAUACGCAGUUUAAAAUGGCUAUGGACUACUUUCAAUCCGCUACUGAUCAAGGUGAAGGUGGCGGUAGUGGUGGUGUAGUUGUGGAUGUAAGCUGUGGGAGCGGUUUAUUUUCCAGAAGAUUUGCCAAAUCCGGGGUCUUUGCUGGAGUAGUGGCGCUCGAUUUUUCUGAGAGUAUGCUUCGCCAGUGUUACAAUUUUCUGAAGGCAGAUCCUGCUUCCCUUUUUGCUACGUACGUAUGCUCUUGCUCAACCUAAAAUAAAAAUCCCAUGUAUUUCAAAUUUGUACUCUCAGACAUGAUUAAUUGGAACAAAUUUAUAUGUAGCAAUCUUGGUCUCGUGAGGGCAGAUGUUUCUAGGCUUCCAUUUGCAUCAGGUUCUGUUGAUGCUGUCCACGCCGGCGCUGCAUUGCAUUGCUGGCCGUCUCCAUCCAACGCCGUAAGUGUGUUACUCGCCGGCGGCCAACUGGCUAGCUAGCAUUUAAUUAUGUUUACUCGAAUUUUUUUUUUUUGUUACAAUUCAGAAUUUUACAUGAACUCUCAUGGUCAUGUAAAUACGGAACUAGUCGAUCUCCACCCUAAAUUUAUUACGGGAAAGUACUUGGCUCUUUACGUGUGAUGAGUAAUUCGACCUGGCAGACAAAUCGGAGUCCCUCAUUCCUGAUAAUUAAUUUGUUGUUUUUUAGGUUGCUGAAAUCACUCGUAUAUUACGCAGUGGCGCCAUCUUUGUGGGAACGACUUUUCUGCGUUCUAGUCCUUAUACUCCAUGGAUAUUCAAGCCUUUUAGGGAGGUAUACUAAUUACUAACUGUAACUUAUUCUCACUAAUUCAAUGAUUAACGUAUCUGAUCAAGAUGUUUAAUAUAUAUGUGAUGAACAGAAGAUGUCACGGAGCUCCAAUAGCUAUUUAACGGAGAGAGAGAUUGAGGACUUGUGUAGAUCAUGCGGUCUCACCAACUACUCGAGCAAAGUUCAGCAAUCCUUCAUCAUGUUUUCUGCUCGGAAACCGGCUGUGUAGCAAACAGCGUGCGGGCCAUCAUUAUAGACCACGCAAGAAGUCUUGUAACUCAAAUAGUUAAAAUAGAGAUCACAACAAAGUUCGAAUGCUACUAUUGAUACAAAGAACCACUCUUUCUUAGUUGAUCCAAUUCGUAAAUUUGAAAGUAUUGAAUUAUAAAUUUUAAGAUGGAUCUACAUAGAUAUUUUGGAUUCUGUGUUUUUUUGCAAAGAAAUAAUCUCUUUCCUCUCAUAUUCAACAAAUUUGGGAGGUCUUGUACACUCCUUUUAGGACUACAUCUUCUCAAUCCUCGAUAUCUUCUGUUUUUUGUACGUAAGGAGUAGAUCAGGUAGUUGAGAAACAAGAAAAACUAGAUUUUCCAAAUAAUGGUAAUUUCCUUAGGAAUCUAUUUCAUACGUUUGUAUAUAGCAGGCAAGAGAUUACAUUGAAUUAUUAUGUGUAGUUAAAAAUUUGGGAAGAAAAACCGAGUUUCUAGGACGAGCACGUAAUUUUGUGCGGGGUUAAAAUGUGAGGCGUGAGAGUAGUAUUAAAAAAAUUAUGUUGAAUGUAUUAGGAUAAGUUUGGUUUGAAAGUGACGUCGUAUACUAUUGCCUCCGUGUCUCUUUCUCCGCCAAAUUUUUGCUGUUUCAACUCUCACUCUCCGCCAAUUUCAAAAGAAGAAGCAGCAGCGGCAGAGAUCAAAAUCUCCAAUGGCGACGACACCCUCCUCCUCCACUCUCCACCCUCUCCACCAAACAUUUCUAUCCCUAAGCUACCCUCCCCUCCAUCACAAUACUCAAUUCCGCCCUCCCCAUCUCUGCCUCACCUCCCGCCAUUCCUCCCACCCCAUUCGCGCCACCUCUACCGUCACUCUCCAACCGGUACCGCCUCAUUCUCCCCCCUCUCCCCAAUUUACGCUUCCACUUUCCCUUUAAAUUUCAAAGUUCUGAUUUUGCAGGAGCGGCGGUCGACCGCCGAGGAAGGUCAAAGCUCCGGCGUUGACCUCGAGCUGCUAGCCUGCCCAGUAUGCUACGAGCCGCUCAUCCGGAAAGGCCCGCCGGGUCUCAACCUGUGAGUAAAAAUACGACACAAAGCCUCAGUCUUUUGCUUGAAAUCGGUGUCGUAAAUGUUUCAAUUUUGUUUUGUGGUUUGCAAAUUGUGCAGGCGAGCAAUUUACAGGUCGGGGUUCAAGUGCAGGAAAUGCGACAAGUCGUAUUCAAGCAAAGACAUUUACUUGGACCUUACUGUUACUGCUGGGUUGAAGGAGUACGUUGAGGUAAAACCGGCCGGGACCGAGUUGUUCCGGAGCCCUAUUGUUUCCUUCUUGUAUGAAAGGGGUUGGCGCCAGAAUUUUAACCGCAGGGGAUUUCCGGGUCCCGAUGAAGAGGUCAAUCAGUAAAUGUGGUUUCUUUUUCUGCGCGGUUUUUGGUGAAUUAGGUUUGUUUUCUUGCUUAAUUUUGAGUUUUGGAUUGCUUAGCAAGUUUAGAUUCUUAUGUGGUUUGCAGUUUAAGAUGGCUCAGGACUACUUUAAAUCCGCCGAAGGCGGUGUUUUGGUGGAUGUGAGCUGUGGCAGCGGCUUGUUUUCGAGGAAGUUUGCGAAAUCGGGGACAUAUUCUGGAGUUGUUGCACUUGAUUUUUCGGAGAACAUGCUUCGGCAGAGUUAUGAAUUUUUUAAGAGAGAUCCUACUCUUUUAGAUACGUAAGUUUGUGUCUGUUCUUCUGAGUGAUCAAUGUUUAUAAGUAAAAUGAGAUGUUUAUCCUUAAAGUUCACUGGAAUAAGUGCAGUAAUCUUGCCCUUGUGAGGGCGGAUGUUGCUAGGCUUCCGUUCCCUUCGGGUUCAGUUGAUGCUGUCCAUGCUGGCGCAGCAUUACAUUGUUGGCCUUCUCCUUCCAAUGCCGUGAGUUCUGUUUCCUGUGUUUUUCUUCUCCUUCAAGUUACUAAGCGCUUAGGAUUGUAUGUCUAUUAAGAGUGGUUGGGUUUGGAUGGUUUAAGACCAGCAAGAUUAGGAUUGUAUCUCUUCCAUUAAUUUUGACUUUCCCUGCUGUUUCCAGAUUCCCCAAAACAAUUUUGUUUUGUGCGUCAAAACAAAUGUGUUGGCUGCGUACCUUUUAUGGUAUUGGAGGUGCUAGUAUGUGAAGUCAGAGGAUGAACUGCGUAGUGUCUAACGCAAGUCGCCUGCUAUUUUGGUAACUUGUGAGAAUUUCACGGUGAAAGGCACCAUAUGGGGAAUUAAUCUUUGAACCAUUGAAAUCUGGACUGAUUGGUAAUUAGGAAUAUGAGAUGAAAUGUGAAAUAGCGAGUAAAACUUAGAGGUGAGUAAACACCAUGGCUCCUUACAAGUGACCAAAAGAAGUAGGCAUCUUAUGGUGCCAUGGUGUGUGAGAAAUAGAUGGAUGAUACCUUUUGAGAAUUCCAGCAUGUUAUAAAAUAGACCCUGAUAAGUUUCUUCUGUUCUUUCCGGAAAUUGCUCACGUCAGACCCGAGGGUGUUGUCUUAGUAGCUCUUCAACUUGGGUUUGGACACCAAUUUUGAAUGCUAAUGCAAAACCCUUUAUUAUUGCGUGGAGUGUUUUGGAUGGGGGACUAUGCUUGCUAGGAGAUUAGCUGAGUAAUCUAACAGGCUAGUGGCAGUACAUACCUGGUCAGCAAGGAAGAGAGAGCAGGUAGUGAUUAACGAACCUAACAAUCUUAGUUAUACUGUAUGUGGGUCAAUUAGAAUCAGAAAUCUAACCUUUAGGUAAAAGAUUUCAGCUUUUGUGGAAUUACAAACUUUCUAUUAAUGCACAUGCCAUAGUGUGUGCCCCAUUGCAGAGUUAGUUCACAUGGAACACACUGCAGUUUUCGAUAGAAGAAAGAUAGUACUCCACAAAUUCUGGUGUUCUCGUCUUUGGCUCCCAUAUUAGAUACAUCUUUUCGGGUGUAAUUAAUGAAAUUAGCUCUCGGGUGGUUUGCUUAUAGCACCUGUUCUCUGGUAGACCUCUAUUUGUUGCAUCUGAAAGUCAUACACUGUCGAAUCUUGUAAAAUUUUCUUUGUUUUACUCCAUGCAGAUGUGUUUGGAUGCAACAAAGCUUCUAUUAAUUUUGAACUCAUAUCUCAUUUAAUUUUCAGAUUGCUGAAAUAACUCGCAUAUUACGAAGUGGUGCUGUCUUUGUCGGAACCACUUUUCUGCGGUAUACUCCAUCUACUUCCUGGAUACCCCGGCAACUCAUAGAGGUAAUACUUAAUCAAUGAUUACCAAAUGUGAUCAAUGCUAGAUUUGGGUCAGACCUGUCAAUUUUCUAUCUGUAUAUGCCAGUCAUAGAAUGUGUGUUCAAAACAACAAUUGCGUAAUAUCCACAUUUCUUUUCUAGUUCCAUAUAAAUUGUCGUGAAUGAAGGAAACCUAAUCGUUACUGUGGUCCAAAUAGUUGAAUUUUCGUGAGAGACGACUCACUAGCAGUAGCCAGCUAGGAUCUGUUUAAGGGUGAUUAUAAACUUAAACAAGUGUUAAUAUGAAGGUGUUAAUAUGGCAGAGGGCUCGUCAGAGCUAUAACUAUUUAACGGAGGAGGAGAUUGCAGACUUGUGUACAUCAUGCGGUCUCACCAACUACACGAGCAACGUUCAACAAUCCUUCAUCAUGUUUUCUGCUCAGAAACCUUAAGAGUUGAGACUAGGUUUGAGCCAUUCGAAUAUCAUUUCUCCGUGCAUGUAUUUACCAUAUUUCUUGAUGAUUUGUUGUAUAGUGUAUUUAUAUGUAAGUACAUAUAAACUUUUGAAAAGAAGAAUACAAAAACCUGAAAAGGUGGAUAAUCUGGGGAAGAUGUAAAGUAUUCAUUGUUAAUGAUAAGUAUUUAAUUAACUGUAUAAAGAAUGAUAGCAGUGCCUAACAUUAUCAAUAACUCUAUUAAUUAGUGGUUUCUGAUUAGUAAUGACAGAUUAACGGCCAUUUUAAUCUUAAUUAGGCUGUGUUGAUUAUGGCAUAAAGGUGUCUCGCACAGUUAAUAAACAACUCCCUCAUAAGCAGACUGUACCAGUAUAUGGUUUUACUCGUACAGCUGCUAUUACCUAGGCUACCACUAUAUCACUGUAUCACAUAACAAGAACAAUAAAAUAUGCACGAAGAAGAAGAAUAUAAACAUUACUCCAUUUGAUAAUUACCAGAAGACUUGAACCCAAUUUACUUGAGCAUUUGUGUUUAUGACAAGAUUCGACCUAUAAAUUUGAAUUUUUCUAAAACCGAUGAAAAUGUUACUUUUUACUUUCACAGAACUAGAACAUGAAAAUCUUCGAUCAAGCUGCUGACAACGUGUCUUGUCCAACGAACCACACAAACAAAUACAAUCCCCUUCAUUUUAGUUUCAUCUGGCUCGACACUGAUCAUGUCCCUAUGCGAGAGUUGCUCUAUGCAAAAGCCCUACUCAAAAUUUCUCCUCGAAUAAAACUAGUACUGUAGUACAUCAUGGUGUAUUGUAGCUAGGGCUGGCCCUGAGGGUAGCCGAGGUAGGCGGUUGCCUAGGGCCCCCAAGUUCGGGGGAGGGGGGGGGGCAAAUUUUUUUAUACAUCCUGUAUAUAAAAUAUAAAUAAAGAAAACGUAAGAACAUCACAGUUAUUUCAUUGGUGCAGUGGAAACGGUUCCACUCCGUUUUCAUUGGGGUGGGAAGUUCAAAACACCUUGUAGACAAUAGUUUUUGUUUUUUUUCAAAUCUAUGAAAUUAAAGAUAAAUUGCUCUUUAAAAUUUUUAAAAUUACAAGAAUAAAAAAGAGUUAAAAUAAUUCAACAAAUAUUAAUUUUGAAUGAAUUUAAAAUUUUCAACUUGAGAAAAAAAAUAACAAAACCUCUGGGUGGUUUUUGUUUAAAUUCUUAUUUAUUUUAAAAAAUAUUUUAAAUUUAAAUUGUAUAAAUAGAAAAAAAUUGAGUUUCUUAAAUAAAAAAUAUACAAAGGCCAAUUGUCACAUAGAGGCUAGUGAAAUUAAUGGCCUCAAUCUGUCCAAAUGCAAUUUUUUUUUCUUUUGCUUUUGAAAAUAACCUAAAAAAUUAACAAAAACCAAAAUAAUCAUAACUUUGUAAUCAUUUUUCUUUCAACUUCCCAGUCUUUCUGUCACUUGGUCCUGAAGAUUGUAAUUUGAGGUAACCAUAACUUUGAAUUAAAUUUUUUUUUCAAUAAUUUAUUGUUAAACUAGGUUAUUCUAAAAUUUGAUUCGCUAGUGUGUGUUGAUUUUAGAAAGAACACAAGAGAACCACUUGGCAUUGUCGAAUUAUUAUAUUUGUCAAUCAAGUUUUAUUGUUUUUACUCUCUUGAUCAUCAAGUUGUAUUGCUCUUCACUCUCAAUCUGGUUUGGUAUUGCUGCGCUUUGAAAAAAAAAAACCGUUUCUGUUGUGCUAUGAGAAUAAGUUCAUUUUUGCUGCUUCACUUUUUCAGCUUAUUUUCACCCAAAACUAUGAAAAUAAGUUGUUUUAAGUGUUUACCAAACACUUUUUUGAACUCAGUUUUUUUUUUUUCACUACAACAAAACAUUAUAUUUACCACAACAAUUUUAUCACGAGUUUUAGGGGCUCAUGGUAGAAAGGAAUUGAUUAUCACGGUCAAAGUCGGCCCAUGGUAGAUAUGAUUAAUUCACCACGGUCAUAUUAGCGCUCGUUGUUGAAAUUAAAAAUCACCACGUGUAGUGCUUGUGGUCAUUAUCUAAAACCACCACACCGCCUUUCUAAAUUUCACCACAUAUCUUGACCGUGGUUGAUAUUUUUAAUGAUUUUUUAUUUCGUUUUUUUUUGUUAGCGCCUUGAUAAUAUUUGGGGAUAUCUACAACCAACUGAAAAUAGAAGACAAGAGUUAGCAAGGGUAUUACUGUAAACAAAUAUAAAACAACGACUAUCAAAAUCAGAAUAAAAAUCGAACGUGAAGAACCCACUGUAGAGGAAAAGAAACUACUCGUACUCCACGUUCUGCUGUAAAACUACCAACCACCCUCAUCUUAUAUAAUUGAAAAAUUAGUGCAUGGUUUUUCAUUCCACACCAUGGAUACAAGUGAAUCACAACAAAAUCUAAAAGGAUGGUGAAGACGAGGCAGAGUCUUGCAUGGGUCUUUUGUCACCAUUUUCAGAGGUAUAUUAGGGGUGGUUUGGGAGUGAGGUGCUUAAAAAAAAAAAGCACCCAUGAAAAAAAAUUGUGAGGGUUUUAGGUGUUUGGUAAACUAAAAAAAAAUGGCUUAUUUUGGAAGCUGCUGUGAGAAUAAGCUGAAAUCAAAGGAAAAAGCUGAAGCAGCUAUUUGCAGCUUUGGAAAACUGGCUUUUUUUCAAAGCACACGGAGCUAUAGUGCUCAUUUAAUGAAAAGACCCACUAUCAGACUGUUUUUUUUUUCCAAAAGCACUUUUACAAAAAAGUUUACCAAACACUCUGCUGAUUUAUUUCACAGCCGCUUAUUCUCACAGCAGCUUUUUUUCAAAGCACAGCAAUACCAAACCAACCUUUACUCUCUUUCUUUUCUCCUUCUCACACUUACACUUUCUGAUAUAUUUUCCUCCUAUUAAAAUUGGUGCCUUUUUCACCUUUCAUUGAAUACUUUAUGAUGAAGUUACAUUGGUCAUUUCUUAAUUGCUUCAAUUAAACUGGUAUUAGUUAUUUUGUGCUCGUGGGGUUUGUGCUAGGGGAGGUUGGCCGAGGCAGAGCAAGUUGGGUUGUAUCGUGUGACUGUGAGGGAUGGAGAGGUUGGCCAUGAGACGAGGGUUUUAUAGUGUGAAAAAGGCACGAGAGAGAGAGAGAGAGAGAGAGAGAGAGAGAGAGAGAGAGAGAGAGAGAGAGAGAGAGAGAGUCAAUGAUUGUCAAUGAUUGUUUAGGAUAAAUUAAUCUAUAAAUUAAAGAGUUAAUGACUGGAACAUUUGAAGGGACCUUGAAUAUCUAUACUUUUGGCUCAUCAUUCUAUUUUUUCCAAUUUCUUUCUCGCCUAAUGAGUAGCCUAUUUGAUUGUAUUAACUCUUAUGAGUAGCCUAUUUGAUUGUAUUAGCUCUUACUUUGACAUUUUUUAUUUGUCAUUGCUGAUAAUUUAUAUAACAUGGUUUAUCUUCCUAACAUUGUCUCAAGGUCCUUUGUUUGAAGGUGUUCAAAGAAAUGUGAAGUCUUCAAAGUGACAAUGUCCUUGUUUGUUGGAGGUCUUUGGAUAGUUUGGUAUUUCUUUGUAUAUUUCAUCGUUUUUUUGUUAGCUUUAGUUUAGUGUACAACUGUAAUGUUUGAAUCUAUGAUUUUUUUAUUGUUAUUUUGUAGUAAAUGUGUAAUUUUGUUUCUAAAUAUUAUAUAAUACAUUUAUUAAACAAUAUUUUAUUAUUGUUAUUUUUUUUUGGAUUUUUUUUUAUAAUGGCCAUUAGCCGUGACCAAUUUGUAAUCCACAACGGUUAUAGUGCAUGUGGUGUUAGAUCAUAAUCUAUAACGGGCACAAUCUGUGGUAAUAUUACAAUUGACAACGGGCAUGACCCGUGGUAGAAUCUAUGACUUUCUAUCACAUCCAUAUUACUAACGGGCACAGUGUCCGUGGUGGAUUGCAAUCUACCACAGACAUCGACCGUGAUAGAUGAGUUUUUUUCUACUAGUGUUUAUACCCACUUUUUAUAAAACACCUCAGUACCAAAACAGUACUUGGACUCUUGAUUGCAAACACUUAGUGCAUUUGUGUCUAAAGAUAUGUGACAUGUAAUAUUAAGUAAUGUUAGUAUAUCUUUUUUAUUUUGAUAUUAAUUUUUAAUAAUAUUCGAUGAAGAAAUAGAUUUUUUAUGUAAUUAAUGAAUUCUUUUUACUACAUACCAAUAUGCAAGGAGUCGGAGGUACGAGAACUUUAGGGCUUCACUUUGAAGACUUGUCUAGGGCCCCUAAAUUCUCAAAGUCGGCCCUGAUUGUAGCCUUGGACUCACAAGAUCUUGACUCUUGAGGGUUUAUUGUUUGGGAAAAAGGCUCCCCAUGUGAGAUGUAUACCUUAAAAAUAAGGGCAUGAAUAUAUAAUAGGGUAUGGUGAAGUGGCCGGGCUAAUAAAUAAAGAAAACCCUUUUCAAACAAAGCAAAUGGAACUAACUCAGACCACACACAGGGCAGAGAGAGGCAGGAAGAUCCCCUCGUGCGGCUCAUCCGCUGACCCUGCAACUCUAUUUGUUCUUCUAAAUAGCCCGUUCACUUUGGAUCUUUGACCCUUGACCACCAUCAACUGAGAUUUUUCGCAUUCUUUAUACAAUCACUUGCUGUUAUUAUUUUUACUUAAAUUAUAAUAUUGUGUUUUUUUUUUUUGGUUUUUUUGUUAAUAUACUUUAAAAAUGAGACAUAUCAACUUAGUCGGUCAUCCGUAUUAUAAUACGUAACAUAAUACAUCAACAGACAAUUAUUUUGGAAACAUUUCUCGUUUAGGUUUUGAAUGAUAAAAGGAGGAAUAAUUGGUUGGUCAGUCUGAGUGAACAGUCCCAAGUCACACUUAAGCUUUUGGACGCUGCAAAUUUAAAUUUGUUUAGGGUUUAUAUUUUGAAAGCCAGGCGUUUCCUUUGGAUCCCUUGCACGUGACCUUCUUUGCUUACUAUAAUACCUUUCUGCUUUUCAUGGCACGUGGGGUUGGCCAUGGCCAUCCUCUUCUGUCUUCUCUAUUUCUUUGAUUCUGUUUGUUCUGUGACUGUGAUGAGCUUGCUUUUCUUCUUUUUCUUUUGGCAGUAACUGCUAGGGUUUUGCUAGUCGUGUCGUUUCAUCAGGCAUGCACGUGCAUGGUAAUAUUCAUUCAUGGUAGACAUUUGGGGUAAGCUGCAUGAAUGAUUUUGUUUUCGGUUAAGAAAACAUAAUAUGAACUUUGUGCUUGAUUGGGUGGCUAUUUUCAUCGGAAUUUAUUUUCAUUUGAGAAUCAUUACGUUUUUAUGUUUAGUUUUUAAUUUUUGUGUUUGAUGUAUGAAAAAAUGGAUACUUUGGAUGCGGUCUCUAGUCUUUAACACUCUUUGAUUAAAACCUUAAUGAUAUUCAAAGUUUGAUCAAAGUCCCUUGACUUUGUACACCUCAUUAUAUUACUAUUUAUAUUUAUAUUUUUAUAGUUUUGACAUUAAUUGUUUGCUAUUUUACGAGAUUUCUAAUCUUAUAAAUUUAAAAUACCUCAUUAUAAUACUAUUAGAAAUGGCUACAAUAAAAAAAUUCAAACAUUUUAAUUGAAUAUAAUGGAUAAAAACUAUGUCACAAUAAGAAAUAAUAAAUGGCAAAAGAAUGUAUCCAUAGUGUGGUACAUUUCACAUAUAAUAAAGUGGUACAUUAAUAAAGAAGAAUGGGUACAUUAUAAAUAAAUUAGUGUACAAAUAAAAGAUUGAAAAAUUAUGAGUACAAAUGGAAUUUUAAAAAAUAUGGGCGCAAAAGAAAUUAAUACAUGGGUACAAAUUAAAACUAAAAAUAAAAUACUACAAAUUAAAAAAAAAAGGUUGCAAAUUAAAAGUGGGUACAAACUAAAAAUAUAAAUAUAUGAUACAAAGUUUAGCCAUAAAACAUAAAUAUACCAUAUGAAAUUUUUCUAUCAUUGAUUAAUUAGACAAUGUCACGUGAUGGCAAACACAUUGGCACAAAUACAAAUAAAACUUUAAAAAAUAUGGGCACAAAAAGAAAUUAAUAUAUGGGUACAAAUUAAAACUGAAAAGAAAAUUGGUACAAAUUAAAAAAGGUUUGCAAAUUAAAAAUAUAAAUAUACUAAUUGUAACAUUUUUAAUACUAAAUGAAUAAUUUUAGGUAAAAAUAUUUUAUUAUUGAAAUAAUUAAUAAUGUUAUUAAUACCCAAUGAUCUUAAUUAAAAAUUGAAAAGAAAUAAGAUUUUAAUCAAUGGAAUAGCAAAAUGAGGGAUGAGAACCUAAUUUCUCCAUGAAAAAAAGUGUACAAGAGAAAAGCAAUAAAGAAGGGUGAUGAGAGCUAAACCCUAACACCAAAGACAUAUUUAAGAGAAAUUCUCAUUUUUUUGUUAAACUAGCAAGUAAUCAUUGUCAAAAAAUUAUUUCAUCUCAAACAACACUAUUUAUUCUAGCAAACUUUGAAUAUUUUAUUAUUAACAAUUCAAACUCAACCCACUUAUUUCUAAAAUAUUCUUCUCUCUCUUCCUUUUCUUCUUGCUCAAGGAAUAUUUUAAUAUUUAGCUAAUGAACAGUUGUUCUAUAAAUUUAAAGAGUGACAGUCUGUUUUGUUAUAGAAGAAACUUUUUUUUAUAGUCUGUUGGAUAUGUGUUUUUUAAGAUUUGGCUCCUUAAAACAGAGUUUUGGUUGUUUUACAGCAUCUCCUGGAGAUGCCCUGUGUAGUUUUUGUUUUCAUACAAAUUUUUUCUACAUCUCACAUCUAUAUCAAUACCAUUCCUUGAUUCUCAUAUUCCGUAUUUCUUUCAUGUGUUUUCCUUGUAUUCAAAAUAAAAACUAGGAACUAAGAUAAAAUGGUUAUUAAACAAACCUGUAAAUUAUUCUUUGAGAUUAAUCUUUAGAAAGUUUUCUCAUCACAUUAGUAGUGAAUGGGAGCAGUAGAUUAACACUUCAUUUUACCAUUCCGGAAGCUUCAAGCCUCCAAGAUACCUUAAAAUCCUUGCUUAAGAAAAGGGGAAAAGGAGAAAAGAGAAGGACAAACUGAACUGCCACAAAAUAAUUAUUUUCUUGUUUUAAAAAGGUAAAAGAAUAAAUAACAUGCAAUUGACCCUAGGUGAAAAUAGGGUAGGGCUUUGGACUAGACUCCAAAAUUAUAAUAUUGGAAAAUCUUUUGACAACAUGUUUAUAGGUUUGGUUAUGCCAAAACCUCUUAUGCUACACACACACACACACACACACACACGUCCCGCAGCUCCAGCGUCCAGCUCCAAGAGCAAAACUCUUCAGAGAAGAUUAGUGGCAGAUAAGAACUUUGCUCGAGAUAAUUGUCUGUGUAUACAUGAAUGAUUAUCAACCGUUAAUUUAUAUGAUAAAAAUCUAUAAUAUGGUAUGCUCUGAUUAACAAUCUUGGAACAACGUAAAUCCGAACGUGAAUUUGCAAGAAAUGUAAAUGACACAAGAUGUAUCGUGGUUCAUCCCAAGGUUUGGGCUACAUCCACACUGAUUGUAUUUCUCUGAGAGUAUUUGUGAGGGAGAGAGUGUGAGAGCUUUGUUCUAGAUAGGAGAGGCUUCGGGUUUGUGAGGGUAAGGAGACCCUUUUAUAGAAUAAGGGCUCCUCCCCUAAUUACAUAUUUGCCUCUUCCUUUAUUACAUAAUUAUAUUUAAGUCCCCCGAGUAUUUAUACGAGGUCUAAAUACGGAGGCCCUAAGUAUGGUAUAAACAGUAGUCCUCCAAGUCUUCAGAAAAGAUAGUCUUGACUGGAGACUUAAAAUUCAGUCCAUGUGUGGGCCGAAGUAACUAGAUGUUGUCUUGAACUGAUGCUCGAUAUGAGGCAGUGCUCAAUCUGAAAUGAUGCUCAACUAGAAGUAGCACACGCUGCGAGGCUGCUCGGCUCGUGGCUUAUGUUGCCUUGGUUGGCUUGGCUUUGUGGCGUUGAAGGUGAGGGAGUCACUUUUAUAGAAUAAGGGCUCGCUCCUCAAUACAUAAGUGAUGGGUUAGGAGUGAUGCUCACGGCGAAGCAGUUGCUCAGUUGACGGCGAUGCUCUCUAAUGAAAGUGAGGGAGUCCCUUUUAUAAAAUAAGGGCUCGUUCCUCAAUACAUAAACGAUGGACUAGAGUUGAUGCUUUCUAAUGAUGGUGAGGGAGUCCAUUUUAUAUAAUAAGGGCUCGCUCCUCAAUACAUAAGUGAUGGGUGCUUUCUAAUGAAAGUGAGGGAAUCCCUUUUAUAGAAUAAGGGAUCGCUCCUCAGUACAUAAAUAAUGGGCUAAGUCGCCCAAGUAUUUUUCAUAAGACCCAGUUGAGGCGUAAUAUAUGGUACAUAAUGUAGUCCCCCAAGUCUUCGGUCAAUAGAGUAUGUUGGCUGGAGACUUCAAAUUAAAUCCAUGUAUGGACCGAAGUGACGGUUGUUCGGAGGCGGUAUUUGUAUACCUUGCACUGAAGCUUUGUAGGUGAAACUUUGCAAGUGAAGCUUUGAAGCUAGAGCUCUGUAAAUGAAGCUUUCGAAGCUGGAGCUUUUGUAAAUAAAGCUUUUGAAGCUAGAGCUCUAUAAAUGAAGAUGUUGACCCUAAAAACUACCAAGCCUACGUGGCACAUGCCGAGUAAUUAGUAAGCUAACUACGUCUUUCGAUUGUGUGCGGGGCGUGCCAACUCGUCGGCCGAGCUCGGCCGAUGAGUAAAAUUUGUUGAUGUUGCGUUGGGUGCGUUGCUGACUUCUGAAUCUCGCGACUGCGGCCGAAGAAGGAACAUUCUCGGCCUUCGGGUUCUAGAGCCUGAAGACAAGGCUGCUAAUUCUGUGAAGUUCAAUAUCAAAUUCAGCUUUCAAUGUGCCGAAUGUAAUAACUUGUAACACCUCACUUCGCCGAGAAGGCUAAUGAGAUGACCUCGACCAAUAAGGAUUCAGAAAUUCUUCUCGACCGAGACUUGGAUAGAUAACGAACCGUCCUCGCCGCAAUGCUGCUGAUGCCAACGGAAGAUGCUGUGAGAUCGGCUGAUUCUACGACGACAGAGCUAUCUAUGCCGAUUGAAGAUAUCACCGGUUGCUUUCACAAUGCUGUUGAAACCAACGGAAGAUGUGUCAGCGAAAAGAGAAAAUAAAAAAUCUCAAAGUUGUUGGGAGAGUUUGUGCAGGGCAAUUGUGUGUUGAAUUGGAGGUCUCUUUUUAGUUGUCUGCCGCUUGGUAUUUAUAGAAAUGUGAGUGCCCAAGUCGCAGAAACCAAUCCUAAUUACACCGUGAAUCUGAGUCUUUAUCUGUUGCUAACCCUACACCUUAUCACAUCAAUCAAAACCCGCUGUAAUCUUGAAAACCUGACCUUCCACCAAAUUCGGCUUUCAAAGAUUUAUCUGACGCAAUCUUGCUUUGGCUAGAUUAUUGGCAACAUUCAAUGCACAUUGUUGUUUUGACCAUGUAGGAAAACAAAAGAAUAUUAUUUUAUUCUUUACCAUCUCUUAUCUUUCACAUGCCCCAAGAGACCAUGUCCAUUUCAAAUUAUAUCUCAUUUCAGACGGCACUUAUCACUUUUCGAUGGUAAUUAUCACUAACUUUUUGCUUGGUCAAGUUCCAACUUGAUCCAUUCUCAUCCAUGCAGAACAUGCUAAUCCUUUUACAUAUCUUUGUGCUGAUCACUCCACGUAUACACAAAUUGCAUGGAAAGUCCCUCACCCACACGCAUAUGCAUAACGCAUGGAAGAAAAUCUGUAACACUCAACGGCUUCGAUCACUCGAGCUGAUUGUGUAAUUUUAGGCCCAAACAAAAGCUUUUAAAGCUGAUUAACAUAAGUGAUGCUCAUGAAUGUUUAUGUUGAUUGACAUGAGUGAUACUCAUGGAUGUUGUCAUGAGUGAUGCUCAUGAAUGUUAACAUGAGUGAUGCUCAUAAAUGUUGACAUGAAUGAUGGUCAUGAAUGUUUAUGUAUGAUUGUCAUGAGUGAUGCUCAUGAAUGUUUAUGUAUGAAUGACAUGAGUAAUGCUCAUGUAUAAUUUGGAGUACUGAGCGUUCUUUUGAUCACCUGGUUAGUGGCAUGAAGGAGAGUACGGGUUGUACCUUUCAUCACCUGGUUGGUGGCAUGAAUGGCUAGUUGCCAAAUGAUAUUAGAGUACCGGUUGUACAUUUCAUCACCUGGUUGGUGGUAAUAGUAGCGGGUUGCCGAAUAAUUGUGGAGUACUGGGCAUACUUUUGAUCACCUGGUUGGUGGUAAUAGCGGCGGGUUGCCGAAUAAUUGUGGAGUACUGGGCGUACUUUUGAUGACCUGGUUGGUGAUAUUUUGGGCUUAUGGGCCUUCGCCCUCUAUACAACAUUCCAACCCAUUUAUUUUGGGCUUUGCCGUUUUUUUUUAAUUACCCUCUGAUGGGGUAUACAUAUUACCCUCUGAUGGGGUUUAUACAGAUGUCUUCGAAAGAUAAAAAUGAAUUACAUCAUUCUGGUGGGGGUGUUUAUUCCUUGCUUUUGCUUUCUCUUUUGCUUUCUGCUUUUGCUUUCUCUUUUCCCUUUUGGCAGAUGGCAGACAACGCUUCCGUAUUGGUUGAGGAAGUGUGCAGACAAUUAUCAGCUAUCACAGCUGGGUUUCUUGGGUCAUCCUCGGGAAUAUUUCUUUCAACCUUACUGACAAGAUCUGCACUGACAUAAGCAUAUUUGGUAUAUAUGCCUCCUUCUUUUUUCUUUAGCAAGCUAUUUGAACAUAAGCUAGUGUACUCCAGCUGUAAAACCCUAUCAAAGCCCUUUUCUUUCUUUCCAUUUUACCUUUAUUCCACUUUUGCUUUCUUUUCAAAAAAAAAAAAUGAUUUCACAUGGCCCUGUAAAGAAGAUGCAGGGACCCGGCUUUGGCCUCUCCCACUCAAUCUGGAAAUCGAGAAGGUUGCGGCGGGUGAGCUUCUCCUCCUCCGGUGCCAUACGCAUCACCUGACUCCUCCAAUGCCGGCGAGGAUUAAACCACAGGGCGGAGGAAGGAGACGGCGACGGAGGAAGCCAUGGAUGCUCUUACAGUUGCUCCAUAUUCCAUGAGUAAAGAGACGAAGUAGAUCGAUGUAUACAGCAUAUCCCGUUCCUUGAAGCUCGAGCACAUUGGAGACAGCUAAAAGGAGAUGGGACUUUGAAGAAGAUUACGAAGCCGCGUGGAAAACACCCUGGCAGUGGAAAGUGGGCCGAAGUAAGCCCACCAAAAUCUGGGUUGUUUCUGUGUUCUCAAAGAGGGUUUUCAAUGAAGGUAGAGCAGAAGCAAGCCCAGGUGAUCGAGCACUUCGUGAAGCAAGCCUCUAGUCUCCAGGGGUCCUCUCUCGUCAACCUUAUAGUUCAACUCACCUCUCAUUCUUUUCUCUUCGCUUUCUCCAAGAUUUUGGCUGUCCCCAAUGUGCUCGAGCUUCAAGGAACGGGAUAUGCUGUAUAAAUCGAUCUACUUCGUCUCUUUACUCAUGGAACAUGGAACGACUGUAAGAGCAUCUAUGGCCUCCUCCAUCAUCGUCUCCUUCCUCCGCCCUAUGGUUCGAUCCUCGCCGGCAUCGGAGGAGUCAGGUGAUGCGUAUGGCACCGGAGGAGGAGAAGCUCACCCGCCGCAACCCUCUCGAUUUCCCGAUUGAGUGGGAGAGGCCAAAACCGGGUCUCUGCAUCUUCUUUACAGGGCCAUGUGAAAUCAUUUUUUUUUUUUUUGAAGAGAAAGCAAAAGUGGAAUAAAGGUAAAAUGGAAAGAAAGAAAAACGCUUUGAUGGGGUUUUACAGCUGGAGUACACUAGCUUAUGUUCAAACAUCUUGUUAAAGAAAAAAUGAGGAGGCAUAUAUACCAAAUUUGCUUAUGUCAGUGCAGAUCUUGUCGGCAAGGUUGAAAGAAAUAUUCCCGAUGAUGACCUAAGAAACCCAGCUGUGAUAGCUGAUAAUUGUCUGCGCACUUCCUCAACCAAUAUGGAAGCGUUGUCUGCCAUCUGCCAAAAAGGAAAAGAGAAAGCAAAAGCAGAAAGCAAAAGCAAGGAAUAAACACCCCACCAGAAUGAUGUAAUUCAUUUUUAUCUUUCAGAGACAUCUGUAUAAACCCCAUCAGAGGGUAAUUAAAAAAAAACGGCAAAGCCUAAAAUAAAUGGGUUGGAAUGUUGUAUAGAGGGCGAAGGCCCAUAAGCCCAAAAUAGCACCAACCAGGUCAUCAAAAGUACGCCCAGUACUCCACAAUUAUUCAGCAACCCGCCGUUAUUACCACCAACCAGGUGAUCAAAAGUACGCCCAGUACUCCACAAUUAUUCGGCAACCCGCCACUAUUACCACCAACCAGGUGAUGAAAUGUACAACCGGUACUCUAAUAUCAUUUGGCAACUAGCCAUUCAUGCCACCAACCAGGUGAUGAAAGGUACAACCCGUACUCUCCUUCAUGCCACCAACCAGGUGAUCAAAAGUACGCUCAGUACUCCAAAUUAUACAUGAGCAUUACUCAUGUCAUUCAUACAUAAACAUUCAUGAGCAUCACUCAUGACAAUCAUACAUAAACAUUCAUGACCAUCAUUCAUUUCAACAUUCAUGAGCAUUACUCAUGUUAACAUUCAUGAGCAUCACUCAUGACAACAUCCAUGAACAUCACUCAUGUCAAUCAACAUAAACAUUCAUGAGCAUCACUCAUGUCAAUCAGCUUCAAAAGCUUCAUUUACAGAGCUCUAGCUUCAAAAGCUUCAUUUACAAAAGCUCUAGCUUCGAAAGCUUCAUUUACAGAGCUUUAGCUUCAAAGCUUCACUUGCAAAGCUUCACCUACAAAGCUUCAGUGCAAGGUAUACAAAUACCGCCUUCGAACAACCGCCACUUCGGCCCAUACAUGGAUUCAAUUUGAAGUCUCCAGCCAACAGACUCUAUUGACCGAAGACUUGGGGGACUACAUUAUGUAGCAUAUAUUGGGCCUCAACUGGGCUUCAUGAAAAAUACUUGGGCGACUUAGUCCAUUAUUUAUGUACUGAGGAGCGAGCCCUUAUUAUAUAAAAGGGACUCCCUCACUUUCAUUAGAAAGCACCCAUCACUUAUGUAUUGAGGAGCGAGCCCUUAUCAUAUAAAAUGGACUCCCCGACCAUCAUUAGAAAGCAUCAACUCUAGCCCAUCGUUUAUGUAUUGAGGAGCGAGCCCUUAUUUUAUAAAAGGGACUCCCUCACUUUCAUUAGAGAGCAUCACCGCCAGCUGAGCAACCGCUUCGCCGCGAGCAUCACUCCUAACCAAUCACUUAUGUAUUGAGGAGCGAGCCCUUAUUCUAUAAAAGGGACUUCCUCACCUUCAACACCACAAAGCCGAGCCAACCAAGGCAACAUAAGCCACGAGCCAAGCAGCCUCGCAGUGUGUGCUACUUCUAGUUGAGCAUCAUUUCAGAUUGAGCACUGCCUUAUAUCGAGCAUCAGUUCAAGACAACAUCUAGUUACUUCGGCCCACACAUGGACUGAAUUUCAAGUCUCCAGCCAAAAGACUCUCUUAACUGAAAACUUGGGGGAUUACUGUUUAUACCAUACUUAGGGCCUCCGUAUUUAGACCUCGUAUAAAUACUCGGGGGACUCAAAUAUAAUUAUGUAAUAAAGGAAGGGGUAAAUAUGUAAUUAAGGGAGGAGCCCUUAUUCUAUAAAAGGGUCUCCUCACCCUCACAAACCCGAAGCCUCUCCUAUCUAGAGCAAAGCUCUCACACUCUCUCCCUCACAAAUACUCUCAGAGAAAUACAAUUAGUGUGGACGUAACCCAAACCUUGGGGUGAACCAUGAUAUAUCUUGUGUCAUUUACAUUUCUUGCAGAUUAACGGUCGGAUUUAUGUUAUUCCAAAACCUUCGAUUUUGUGCAUCAAAAAACAAUAUUACGACGUGGAAUUUCGAAACUGAAAGGUAGGCAUGAACGGUAUAAAGGGAAAAAAUGAUACAAGAUUUGUACCAAACCCAAGAUGACUCUUGGUUGGAGCUGAGAGGCACAAGAAGCAAGGUCUUCCUAAAAAAUAGGACACCGGGGAGCCUCUAAUUAAUUAGGUCGGUAGUUUUCCUGACUAGUGCUCAAUGAGUUGUGCUUGUCUGUCAGUUUGCAAAAAAAGAGCACACAUUAUUAUUGAAGCAAGCUGCAGGACUUGCGAUUAGUGGAGCUGUUGAUUGAUUGUUGACAUGUUUCGUUCCCUAAAAACCGGGUUUUUUUUCUCGUACAUGUCUUGCUUGGACUCUGUUAUCAGCAUAUUAGGCAUGCUGCCAUACAAUUGUAUUGACCAGAUGCAAAGGAUAUGCCACUAAAAGACUGUUCUAAACCACACUAAAAUUUAAUUUGGGAGAUGCUAUCAACUUUCUUAGUUAGAUUGUUUUAUUUAUUUUGUUUGUUUUUUAGGGAACUGUUAUUAGUAUUUCAAAAAUAUCAUUCUUCACUCCUCAUAAAUGUAUUUUUCUUUCUAAUUAUAAAAAGUUUGGAGUGCCAAAAGAGAUUUUUGGAGUGCUAAUAACAAUUCUCUUUUUUCAAUAUUACAUUGUGCAUUAUGAUUUGAAUCGUUUACUUUCUAGUUUACCUUUGCUGAUUCCUUUAAAUUGUUUCUUAUUAAAAUUCUUUUUUUUUUCUUCUUUUAAGUCACAAAAUCAAUCUUUUCUAAAUUUUAUUUUAAAUAAUUAAUUAAAAUUUGAUUUUAACAUAACUUAUUUGAAAUAAUUCCAAUAAAACGACAUUAUUAGAGUCAACUAUACUAUGAUAAUUUUGUUUCUUUUGCGAGAUAAAUGACUGAUUCUCAUGCAACAUUAUAAAGAAAGUCGAGAAGGUUGUUAACAAUCCUCUAAUUCCUUUACGAAUUACCUUUUUCUGUUUGGAGGUGGAUUGUCUGCCUUCCCAUUUCCAUACUCUUCUCAUCCCUUCUUGUUUGUGUGGUCACGGUUAAGUCACGUCAACAUUUUAUAUUGAUUUUUUUUAAUAAAAAUAAUAAAACAAAAGGUAAUAGAAAUAUAAAAUGUUGACGUAGUUUAACCGUGAUUACAUAAAAUAGAAAGAGAUGAGAAAACUAUGGAAAUGGGAAGGCAUACAAUCCACCUCCUUUCUGUUUAAUUCCUCAUAGGUUGUACCAAGUUACCGAUUCAACCAAUUUUACCACUUGAGUCACAUGAGUCACAGUUGAGGUACCAAAAGCCAAUGAGUAGACAGCUGCACGUACUUUGACAUGCUAUUAUUUCCAAACCCAAAUUCUAAUCUUUCAAAUUUUAUUUAUUUUUUCUCCUUUCUCCCUCAGCAAUUUACUAGGGCCUUGGAAGAUGAAUAAGAAAAGCACCUCGACCUACAUUAUACACGUAGACACUUACGAGAGAGAUAAUAGUAUGUUGGAAGUAUACUAGCCAACACAAAUACAAUCACUUUUAUAUCAUUAUAACAUAUCAAGAAAUUAAACGCAUGAUAAUCAAAUAAUGCUCGAUUAAUUUUAAAUAUGAACACACUAUCAUUCUUAUAUAUAGCUAAGUCCCUCCCCAACACAAAUACUGAGACAUGAUAUCUUAAAUUGGUUACAUGGGUAGCAAAAUGAAACAUUCAGAUGAUUAGACUAAAGUUACAACUGUAAAAAUCAUUCCUUUUGUAGGCCUAAUUACUUAUCUUUUCAAGUGAUGUGAGUUACAGAAAUGACAUCAAAAAGCAACAGGCAAGAAAGGGAUGCCUAAUUUCUGCUCUGCUGCUCUUCCUCCACUUGUUUUUUAUUUUAUAAAAAGAGAACAGAAAAAAGAAGACAAACUUAUUAGCCGACUUUUUGGCAUAUGAUGAAUUUUCAAUUUUGAAAAUUCCAGAGCUAAAGUUUAUUUUGAAUGACAGCAACAAAGUGGAACGCAAAGAAUGGACUGAUGGAAAUAUAUUAUCAGGGGUGGCUGUUAACUAUCUGUAAUUUUUAGGUUUUGUUUUUACAAGAAGUAGCUAGUUUCUACUGAUUCUAUCUCGAGUAGUGUUAUUUACACAUUUAUUUUUUAUUUCUCACAUACUUUUGUUAAUUUUUUAUCAUUGAUCUUUUUCAAUACAUCCGAUCAAACGGUUUAGAAAUUAAGAGAAAUAUAUGAAAAUUAAAAAUGAGUGCAAAUAGCACGUACUACUCUUUCAUCAAUUCUAAGUGAUGGGAAUCAAUGACGGAAACAGGUAAAAAAAAUUGGCUGAGCAGCUCCUUCAAGAAGGUGGCUUGGUUAGUUUAGCAUUAGAGCUCUUCAGCCAAGGAGAUGAGCAAGCAUUUGUUUAUAGGGUUUUUAGAGAAUGGGAGACACGGAAACAGCGCCCACGUUCUCCUCAUACCUUACUUCCUCUCUCUCUCUCUCUCUCUCUCUCUCUCUCUCUCUCUCUAUUGUGAAAUAUUUCUUUAAAAAGCACUUAUGUUCAAAAGUACUUCUAAUAAAAAUCAAAAGAAAAUUAAUAAAAAUGGUUUAAAAACUUUGAAUUUUAAUUAAAAUGACAAAAAUGUGUUAUAAGUGAAUAAUACCAUGAGUGACUUUUUAGAGUAAAAAUGUCAUUUUUGUUAAAAGUAAACAGUACCAGAAGUGUUUCGUUAAAACUUUCAAAAAUCAAUUGCUUCUAUAAAAACAUUUAAAGUGCUUUUCGUAAAAGCACAUAACAUGUGUUUCUUAUAGAAAAUACUUCAAAUACUUUCUUUUACGUCAAUAUUAUCAUACACAUUUUUAGUGAUCUAAAAACACUUUCAAACAUCUCUCUCAUGUUAUAGGUCUCCCUAUUGACAAAAUGUUGUGUACCUCCCCAAGGAAUAAAUAUAUACCUCCUUCCUCUCUUGUGAAGCUCAAUAAAUACACUUAUCUCCAUCCCUUGUUCUCUCUCUCUCUCUCUCUCUCUCUCUCUCUCUCUCUCUCUCUCUCCUGUUUACACCACUGUCCUGGUAACAGCUCAAAGAAGGGCUCUCUCUUUCAAGUGUUUAUGUGAUCAUGGUUUGUCUCUGCCCAACCUCUCUCUCUCUGUCUCUGUUGCAUAGUUCUCAUUGUAUUUUGAGCAUAAUUUAGUUUAAUUGUUUUGAUAGGGAAUUCAGAAGCCUGCAUGGUUGGAAGCCCUCUACACUGAGAAGUUCUUCGCCGGCUGCUCAUUCCACGAAACUGCGAAAAAGAACGAAAAAAACAUCUGCUGUUUGGAUUGUUGCAUCAGCAUAUGCCCCCAUUGUCUUCCCUCCCAUCGAUUCCACAGGCUCCUUCAAAUUCGCCGCUAUGUCUACCAUGACGUUGUCCGAUUGGAAGAUCUUCAGAAGCUCAUCGACUGCUCCAACGUUCAGGUUAGUGCCCAAAAAAUGAUCAGUCUAGCUUAAUUGAUUGACUUCUGCCAUUUCAAUUCAGUUGGUUUGACAAUAGAAGUCUUUGUUUGUUGUUUUAGGCAUAUACAAUCAAUAGUGCCAAAGUAGUGUUCAUCAAGAAAAGACCUCAAAAUCGGCAAUUCAAGGGUUCCGGAAACUACUGCACAUCGUGUGACAGAAGUCUUCAAGAGCCUUAUAUCCAUUGCUCUCUCGGGUGCAAGGUAACGAAAACUACGAAUAUAUUUGGAAAUUCGCUAAAAUAAUCAUUUUUCCAAUCCUAGUUACUGAAACAAUCAUUUUUCAAUAUGUCAUCGUUAUCUAAUUGCUAUGUCGUCGAACUUUGAUCAUAUAUUGUUGAUAUUUUAAUUUUGAUCGCCUUAACCAUUGAGAUUUUGAUUUUUGAUCUUUUUAACCAAUUUCCCAACGUAUUUACUUACUUUUUGGCCUUAAUUUGUUCCGUGCAUGCAGAUAAAUAACUAAAACCUUUGCAUCUAUAUUUUAUGCGACAACAAACAACUUAUAUAGUUGAAUUUUACAUGGUUUAUGAAAAUGACUUAUAUAGCUGAAAAUUUUACCUUGUUUAUGAAUACUAAAACGCUUUAAUUAAUUAAUGAACAUGUUGAUUCUAAUGAUUAAUCAGGUGGAUUACGUGCUUAAAUUCAAGAAAGACCUCUCUCCUUACUUGAAAACAUGCAAGUCCCUUCAACUGAGUCCUGACUUCUUAGUUCCACUUUCCGAUAUGGGAGACGAGGAGAUAACCAGUGAUCAGACCAACCCUCAUUCCACAAUUGUGGACCUCGAUGACCCGAUGAGCUCGUCAUCAUCAUCUGGGUCUGAGACCAUGAGCAUGACCAUGCACAUGGCGUACAUGCAUCAUGAUGUCGUCAGGAAAAAGAGAAGCGGGCUUAAUUACGCGUCGUUAUGUGGAAGAUCGGCUCAUAAAGUUUCCGACGAGGACAUGGCCACAAGCAUGAUUAGUAGAAGAAAACGCAUUCCUCAUAGAUCUCCUUUGUGUUAGUAUAAUCAACAAACUUUUUAAUAAAGCUCAAUAUUACAAUUUUCAGUUUAAUUGACUGAAUUGAACUCUUCAAAUGCUUUGAUUAAUUAAAUAAUUACAUUAGCUCUUUCUUUCUUUCUCGAAUUUGAAGUUUAAUUCUUGUUAAUUAAUCACUUGGUCGGGGUGUUUUGUCUUAAGGUGAUCACGUGGUUCCCAAUUCCAAGUUAUUGUUCUGUACAUUUUUAUCACUCUUUUUUAAGUCAUAUUUUAUACUAGACCAAAACAAGGUCAUAUUUCAUUCAUGAUUUUACUAAUCUCAUCAUUGAUUCAAUUACUCAUGAAUUUUGAUGAGGCUCUUCUAGUUCUUGUGAUCAUAUAUGCUUCAUAUUAUAUGGUACAACUGUGUAUUACAAUUAAAGUAUAUUCAUAGUAGGAGUUAUACUAGGUAGGCUAAAUUUUUAGAUUAAAUUUGUAAAUCAUGCGAUGUGUCAUCAAUAAAAAAUAAACACGUUAAUUAACAUUUAAUAAUUCAAUAAUUAACAAUCACGUCAUAUGAUUUAAAUAGUUAAUCUAAAUAGUUAAUCUUUCUAGCAUUAGAUCUAGGAGCACAUUUAAUCUAAAUAGUUAAUCUUUCUAGUAGGAGCACAAGUAAAAUCAGGAGAACAGUUAAUUAUAUGAUACUACAUUUGGAUUUUACUUGUGCUCGUGAUUUUAUACUUAAGUUUGAAAUUCUUUUCAAUAAUUUAAAUGAAUUAAAAUACGUCGUUUAAAAAAAAAGAAUUAAAAUAAAAAAAUUAUAAAUAUGUAUAAUAAUUUUUUAUGUGCAGAAAGGUUAUCAUGACUGGUUGAAUCACAAACCGGUUACCAGUACAUUUGCCCUGUUCUUGCACGACUCAAUAUGCAAUUCACAGAUUUAAUUUAAGGCCUAAUGAGUACCCGCCUAAAUGGUAUUCCUUGGACUUUGACUGUAAUUAUAAAACAAUAUCGUACGUGUGUGCAUGAUUUUGUGUGUGACAGACAAAAGAGACAGAAUUUAUUUAAUUAAUUUUGACCAGUCAAACCUUCCGGGAUUAGCUGUGAUAAGAAUUACUAAUCCUAGCUAUUACUAGCUGUAACAAGCAUAGUCACAACCUAGAUGUACAUAUCUUGUAGCACAUAUUGUACUAUGUCAAUUGUUUGAUUAAUCCUUCAAUUGAAAAGAUACAAACACAGUACUUAAUCACAAAAUUAAUUAAGUAAUUCACCGAAGUUUGUUGAAGAUUACUAACUAGUAUUAGAGUCAAAGGUAUUUUUCUUUAUGGGUAAAUCGCCAAAAUGGUCCCUGAGAUUUCAUAACUCAUCACUUUGGUUUUUAAAAUUCCAAAUCAAUAAAAGUGGUUCCUGAGAUUGUUCAUCAUCCAUCAUUUUGGUCAUUCAGUUAAAAACUCCGUUAAGUGUUCCAGAGCUCCUGGCCGGAAGUUUGGGCAUUUUUCAAAGCUUCGUAACUCAAUCGUUUCUUAACCAAAUUCGACCCAUAAUAUAUCAAAAUGAAGAUAGGAAAGUGUAGAAUAAGAUUAUACCUAUUUCGAAGCCCAAUGGUUGCUGGAGAUUUCCGUAAAAUAGCCUCAAAGUUGACUGGUCCAAGUGAAAACUUGAAAACUCGCCGGAAACUGUGUAAACUUUAAACGUUCAUAACUUCUUCAAUACUCAAUGAAAUCAAGUGAUUCAAAUACAAAAAUCAUACUUCUUGACGAGACGAAGUGAAUGGUACCUUUUCAAUGGCUAACUCGUCGUGGUUUGACUGGAAAACGACUUGAAAGUGGCUAUCUUGGUCUCGAGUUAGUCACUUUCGAGCCGUUUUUCGGCCAAACCACAGUGAUUUAGCCAUAAAAAAGGUACCAUUCUCUUCGUCUCGUCGAGAAGUAUGAUUUUUGAAUCACUUAAUUUCGUUGAGUAUUGAAGAAGUUAUGAACGUUUAAAAUUUACCCAGUUUCCGGCGAGUUUUCACUCGGACCAGUCAAAUUGGAGGCUAUUUUACGGCAAUCUCUGGCAAUCAUUGGGCUUCGAAAUAGGUAUAAUCUUAUUUUACACUUUCCUAUCUUUAUUUUGAUAUAUUAUGGGUCGAAUUUGGUUAAGAAACGAUUGAAUUACGAAGCUUUGAAAAUUGCCCAAACUUCCGGCCAAGAGCUCUGGAACACUUAACGGAGUUUUUAACGAAAUGACCAAAAUGAUGGAUAGUAGACAAUCUCAGGAACCACUUUUAUCGAUUUGGAAUCUCAGGGACUUUCGAAAUUGGCUGGAAGAAGGUACCAUUGGGUUAACCACUUACAUAUCUCAGGGACCACUUUUAUUGAUUUGGAAUCUCAGGAACCACUUUUAUCGAUUUGGCCGUAAAAUAGCCACUUUUAUCGACUCACAAAACUAGUAAAGAUAUAUAAUGUCUGUAUUAAAAUUGAUACCCAAUUAUGGUCAACUCAUUGUACAAAUUAGCCUAAUCUCUCUACCAAUUGCAAAACAUUUCCACUUUUUAUAGUAUUGUAGUACAAUUAAACAUUAUUCUCCUAAUAUAUAUAUAUUAAUACAACAAUAUAUUUUCACUAAAGGAUGAUGAUGAGGUGCUAAUACUAUUUUAAUAUAAAUGUUUUAUGAAUAAUUAGCCUUGCGUGUGCUAAUUGGUUUUAUUUAUUUAUUAUUUAUUAUUAGUAUUUUUUUGUCAAAUAUAUUAGUAUUUUUUUCAUCAAAAUAGAUAAAACUGACUUAAUAUUUAGUUAUUGAAAAGAUUGUAAAAAGGUGAUCAACCCACGUAGUGGUGCUUUGCUUGAAAAUUUUCAAAAUGAUUUAUUUUACCAUUUUACCCCCUUUUUUUUUUAAUAUAAAAAAUUGUAUCUCCAACCCCGUAGGUUAAAAUCUAAAAUUUUUCACCCAUAACUAUUGUUUUUCUCCAACCCUUAUGGGUUAAAAUUUUAGCCCGAGAUUAUUAAAUAAUGAAUUUAUAUAAUUUUUUUCUUAAAGUAACUUCUUUAAAAAAAAAAAAAUUAUGCAGACUAUCCUAAUUUAAUUUAUGAACAUUUUUACCUAAAAAUAUUUAGAUUUCAAUAAAUAUUGAAAAAUCACUAAACCAUCAUCAUGAAACUCGUGGAACACUAUAAAAGAAUAUGAAACACAUGAAAUUUCUUUUAAGUACUUUAGCCGUUAGAUUUAAAUUUAGACCUUUAGAUUUUUUUUUUACUGUUGAAUUUGAUCCGUUGGAUUCAAUGAAUUUAUAAAUAUAAAACUAAAAAAGAUACAUAUAUAUAUAUAGUGGGCCAGCCCCACUUAUCCAGAGGGGAAUCCUGGCCUAAAUUUGCCCCCAGAAAAGAGGUUUUGGUUAAAACUCAUAAUUGCCCCAAGGGUUGGAGCAAGUUGGGGUAGGUUUAGAACCUAAAGUUUGAGUUUUACUUUGAAUGUUGGAGUAGGUCUAAGGGUGUGAGGGAGUGGGCUAAGUCUCACACCGGACUAACCAUAAUGAUGUGGUUCAAAUUCGCAUUUUGCGAGAAUCGAACCUAAGACCUCUCACUUAUAAGUGAAGAAGAAUAUUACUAGACCAUAGUUUUAAACGGCUUACCCUUGUUAAUUUUUUUUUUUUAACAAACGAUAUCAUCUACACUAACGGGAGGGGGUAGGUUUAGCCUCACAAUGGGCUAGCAAUAAUGUGGUUCAAAUUCGCCUUUGGCAAGAAUCAAACCUAAGACCUUUCACUUACAAGUGAAGAGGAAUACCACUAGACCAUAGUACUAAGUGACUACCCCUGUUAAUUAAAUUAUUUUAUUUUGAUAUUCUUAAUUAGGGAGGGGAAUUUCUUUGGAUUUUGAAAGCUUUACCUUGUUUGCCUUCUCACUUUGUAUAGAGAGAUGCAAAUAUUUAUUUGUUUUUGGUGAAUUCUUAUAGAAUGAAACUUCAUGCAUCUUCUGUACAAAGUUCUUAUUUAGGCCCCAUAAAGAUUGGGCCCAUUUAGGGUUUGCGAUUAAUGCUGCAACUAGAACUUCUGUGAUAACUUUUUCAGCAAAAACAGAAACAAAUUUUCUAGGGUUUUCCUUGAGCUAUCAACAAGAAAGGUCCAGAAUGUUUAAUUAGGGUUUGAUCAUAUUGCCAUUCAGAAUAUGAAACUCUAAACGUUCAAAAACCCUGGAAAAAUAAAACAUAAAAACUAUGAAAAGAUGGAAAUAUAUAAACCGAGUGGAUAUGCCUAAAAAAUGAAACAUCAUCGUCGUAUUCAUCAUCAUUAUAUUCAUGUUUAUGACUCCCUAAAUUAGACAAUAUGGUUGGCGUUAAAAUUUUAUAGGUAGCUCAUAAAAUAAAUUUUUAGUCCCUUUAGCUAAAAUUUGAUUUGAAAAUAGAGAGCAUGACUAGAGAUGUUAGUGUAAUUCAUGUUUUGAGCUAAAUAAUAGUGUUUUGUCAGUAAAAUCACCUUACUGAGAAUAGUAAUUCCCCUUAAUUUUCAAUAAAUUCAUCUUAUACUGAAGAUUGUAAUUUCCCCUUAAUUUUCAAUAAAUUCGUUACUGUUGUAAAAAAUGUAAUCUUAUUUUUUACUUCAAAAUCUUGUUCAUUAUCCUUUUGAAAAGUUUACGUGUGCAAAACUCGUAUUAGACACGAAGACAAGUUUAAGUUUAACGGAUUUGAUCACUUUUCCAUACUAGGUUAUAGAUACGUGAACCGUUGGAUUUGUUUGUAUUUCAUACGAAUUUGUUCUUUUUUCUUUUUUGUAUUUUAGAAAACAAAUACUUCAGCUGAAAAAUAAUAGUAAAUAGUUAAUCUCUCGCACAGUCUAUAUAUUCUGUGUUUUUCAUUCCAUAGAAUUUAUGCGCAGUUAGUUAUGUGUGUAAACCGCGUCAUACAAAUAGCUCCCUCUGCACAAAAUGUACGCUGGUCCUCGUCUCUCUCCCGCUCCCCAGCUCCACCUCAAAAACCACAGUGGGUCGAGGAAAUCAUCAUCCGACGUCGUUCGGCAAUCACGUCAACAACAAAAAAAUCAUAGAAAAAACCGAAAAUCGAAAACAUAAUGUCAUGCCUCAGAUCAAACACAUGGAAAAUAUCCAUUCUUUGUUUUUCCAUUUUCCUCUUCGUUCCUUUAAUUUCCGGUACUCCUGACCUUUUCGACAUCAUACGAAGAACAGGUACCCAUGCAUGACAUUUGACAUUCAUGCCCAGCUUUUUUACUUUCGUCGAAAUGGUUGUGAUUUCAUGUUUUUUAUUUUCUUGUAAAAAUUGUAGGGAUUACGUGUUCUUUAAUGUUUAAUUUUUUUUUGGGUUUAAUUUGGUUUGGUUUGCAGCGGUAGAGGUAGGCGGCGAGAGAGGGAGCGUAGGGUUUCACGGGGUGGUGGGAUGGGACACAGCAGCAAGGAGGUUUCUUGAAGGAAAAGAUGGAGAAAACAGGACUGUCAUGUUAUUGGCUGAGCAGAGGACACGGCGGAGAGACCCUCUCGACGCGUUCAAGAAAUACAAUGGUGGCUGGAAUAUCAGCAAUAAGCAUUACUGGGCUGUGAGUUCUUGCUUUUGAAACAUUUUUUCUCUUUUUGUUAUUUGGGUUAAUUUCUAUCAAUUUAUGAAUAAAAAACAUGGUAUGAGGGUUGUUUUGCUAUUUUAAUAAAUUUCUGGAAUUGUUUUGUUCUUUUGCUUAUCUCAUGUUGUCGUUGUUUCAAAAUUAAUUGGGGUAUCUUGUUUAUUUUUAAAUAGGUUUUAGUAUUUAUAACCUGCAGAGAUUGCUUCUAGAAAUGUUAAAAGUCUUUUAUGACAACUAAAAGUGUUUUUGAUUGCGUUUAGCAGAAAAAAUUGAAAUGAUAAAAAUGAUUUCGUGCUUCUUUAGGAAUCACAAUGUUUAAUAAACUGUGCAAUGUGUUUCUAAUAAAAACAUUUCUAAUAGAAGCGCUUAUAAGCGAAAAAAAAUUUUACAUGAGCAAUUCCAAACUAGUCCUAAAUGUAAGUCGCGAUAUCGUAUAUGCAAAUUUUUAAUUUCGUUAAUGAUAUAUAUAGAGAGAGAGCUCUGUCAAGAAUGUUCAUGAAUUAAUAACUUUUGUCAGUUUUUGCGAUAUAAUGUGGUUUCCUAUUCUUUCUUUAUGCUUUUCAUAGUGUUGUUUAAUUUUAAACGUAUGGAUUAUUGGUUACACUGCUGCUCAAUUUUUUACAUUGAUUAUUGUUUUGUUUUAUGACGCAGUCUGUUGGUUUCACAGCGGCGCCCUUCUUCGUCACCGCCGUUGUGUGGUUCGUGCUGUUCGGGAUAAGCCUGUUGCUCAUCUACUUCUGCUACUGCUGCUGUCGGAAAGAGCCGUAUGGCUAUUCUAGAGUAGCAUAUGUUCUCUCACUCUCCAUCCUCAUUUUCUUCACACUCAUGGCAAUUUUGGGAUGUGCUGUGCUCUACACUGGCCAGGACAGGUUCCAUGGCAGCACGUGCAGCACGCUUGGAUACGUCGUGGGGCAGGCAGAUAGGACUGCCGAAAACCUCAGGAACGUGUCAGACUAUCUCAAUGCAGCUAAGAAGAUUGGUAUCGACGCCAUUGUUCUUCCGGCAGACAUUCAGCAGAGCAUUGAUGGUGUUAUGGGAACCAUAAAAAAUGCUGCCGAUAUACUCUCUGAUACAACCGAAAAGAAUUCGAAACGUAUAGAAGAUGGCUUGGAUAUCAUGUAGCCAUAUAACUCUACUGCAACUUCUUCCAAGUUUUGCUCACAAUGCUUAAUAAUUUGGAUAACAUUAAUUUUUCUGUUGCUAUGUUUUGCAGGAGACUAGCUCUCAUUGUUCUUGCUGCUGUUAUGCUUUGUUUGGUCUUCGUUGGAUUUUGUAAGUCCUUUUUUUCUUUUCGUUUUGAGGUAGAAAUUUCCAAAAAAAUUGACUUUUAAAAUUAUCCCUUAUUAAUCUCUCUGUUCUUCUUUUGGACUAAAAUUGUUGCAGUGGUUUCCAUUUUUGGGAUGGAAUGUCUUGUAUACAUGUAAGUGACGUAUACACCUGUAACUGUUUCGUGUUCAUUUUCCAGAUGUCCAAAUUUUGGUAGAAUUUGUAUGUCUUUGUCCUUUAACAAACACUUGCACAUUGAUGCAGUUUGGUGAUUCUUGGGUGGAUUCUCGUCACAGGAACAUUCAUUUUGUGUGGUGUAUUUCUCCUUGUCCAUAAGUAAGUGUUGUUUAAUCGUUGCAAGAAAACAUCAUCCAUAAUCACUGACAUUAGUGGCACUGAAUAAGGUGGCUUAAAGCAGUACCAGUCCCUAUAAUUAACGGACAUGUUAUCAGGCUAAAAGCUUUUGUCACCUCAUCUGCCACCGAUGUCAGUAAGAUUACUUGCUAAUUUUAUUUUUCGUUCUUCUGGUUUUCUGACUUCAUUUCCUAUGUGCAUAAUUGUUAGUGUGUUUGCAGAUGCAUGUGUUUCAAUGAAUGAGUGGGUGCAGAAGAGCCCCACAGCUCAUACUGCCUUAGAUGAUAUACUUCCAUGUGUGAACAAAAACAUGGCCCAGGAGGCCUUGUCGCGGACUAGGGAUGCAACCUUCUAUGCUGUUUUUGUGCUCAACCGUGUUGUCACCGAUAUUGCAAAUACUAAUUCCCCGGCUAAUGGUCCCUUGCACUUCAACCAGACCGGCCCACCAUUGCCGCUUCUUUGCAACCCCUUUGAUGAAAAACGCAACGAGCGAAAGUGUGUCGAUGGUGAAAUUCAAAUGCAAGAUGCUCAAGAGGUACAAAUAAAAAAUAGGAGUAAUGAAUGGAAGAAGCCUAAUAGCUAGCAUCCAUUUCUAAGCUAAAGCAUAUAUGGAUUUCUUUGCUUGUGUCACAAGUUAUUCAAAAGUUUUGAAUGCAAGACCUCCUAGCUGCAACCAGACAUCUGAUACCAUGUUACACAAUCACUAGACACAAAGUAUAAGCUUUAUAGCUUUUCGUAGUGUCUAAAUCUGACAUACCUUCUGUAAUAAUUGCCUCAAACAGGUGUGGAAGAAGUAUGUGUGUCAAUCUUCGCCAGCGAAUGUUUGUAUAACUCCUGGUCGGUUAACUCCAAACUACUAUGACCAAUUGUCCGCCUUCGUCAAUGUUAGCUACGCUCUCUAUCGUUACAGUCCCUUCUUUCUUGAUCUUAUAGACUGCACAUUUGUUAGGGAUGCUUUCUCGGACAUAAGUAGAGAUCAUUGCCCCGCUUUGCGAAUACAUAGUGCCUGGAUGUACAUUGGCUUGUUUUUGGUAUCUGCAGCUGUAAUGUUGUCCUUGAUCUUCUGGGUAAUCUAUGCCCGGGAACGAAGACACCGUGUCUAUACCAAAAAGGUUUUGUCUUCUAGGGUUUGGCUAGAACAACCUGCAGAGGUGGGGCUGUCUCAGACUUAUUCCAGGUCCUCCUCCACGAGAACUCCCAUGCAUUCCGGACUCCAUGAUAGGGCGCAUAACAUUUAAAUUUGCAUAUAGAACAAGCAAGCAAAGCUUCCUUUUUUUUUUUGGUUCUUUUUCCUUGGAUCUACAUUUGAGUAAUGUACCCUCAAUUUUUUGUAUAUUAUACCUACUUAUUGCUAGAAUCUCCAUUAGCCACUUAGUAUUAUGGUCUAGUGGUAUUCCAUUUCGCUCGUAAGUGAGAGGUGUUAGGUUCGAUUCUCACCAAAAGCGAAUUUGAACCACAUUAUUGCUAGCACAUUGUGAUGCUAAGCUCAUCCCCUUCCCCUUAGUGUAAAUAAUAUCAUUUUUUUUAAAAAAAACAAAAAAAAAGCAUAAAUAUAAUCAGUUACAAGCUCUAAUAAAAAUAGGUCGGGAUAAACACAAAAUAAACAAUAAAUGAGGAUAAAUCUCAAUUUACAUACAACUUCUUGUUCCGAACUUCUACUUUUAUAAGAAGUAAUCGAUUUUAUUUAUGCAUAUUUCUUAGAAUAAAAAUUAUAUAAUGUGGGACUGGCCAAUCUUAAUUGUCAAUGAAUAACUUAUACCUUAUAUGUUAUCCAAAACCAGCCGUUUAGGUUGAAUAUAUGAAAGACUUCUAGUGCAACCGUUGAAUAUAUGAAAGAAAAAAUUACAGAUAGUGCUGCUAGCUAGGUUUUAGUGUCAAUCAACAUCAUUGAAGUUGUUUGAGUGAUAAGAAAAGAAAGUGGAGUUCAUUGGCCACAAUCCACGUUACAGGAUAAUCAUAUAAGGAUAUAGUUUGACUCAAAUGGGAACAGUUUGUUCUCUUGCUGCCUGUUUAUCUUAUUUUGUAAUCCCAUCUCAAAACAAUAUUAUUUUAUUUUAUUUUUUUGGAAACAUGUAUACUUAAUUUAAUUGAAAACCUAGGAUUCGUUAUUCUUGAUGUUCUUAAGAGAGUAUCAUGUUUAUCUUAUCCAAUUAGAGCAGCUGGCUAGCGUAUUAUAGGAUUUUAAUUUAGCAGCAUGGUUGAACAAUCGCCUAGUAUAGCGUGCAUUAUUGUCAUUGUCGUUGGCCAAUAAACCAAUAAAAAAAAAAAUUAACGAAAAGCUUUCGGUACUGUUCACUUUAACGAAAAACCAUAUUUUUACACUAAAAAGUCAAUCAUGAUACUAUUCACUUUACCCUUUAUUUUGUCAGUAUCGUUAACUUAAAACUCAAAGUUUUUAAGUCAUUUUCAUUAGUUUUCCUUAAAAAAAAUCUCAUAUCCUCAGUGUGAUCAGAACACGGGAUUAUACAAAUUGUGUGAAAUGUGAGUUAAAAAGUUAAUAAAUAAAAUUUUUCUACCACUUAUAUAAAAAUAUGUAAUGUACUACCCGUUUUCCUAUCAAAAUGAAAAAUUUCUCCUUAACGUGAGCUGUAAGCUAAGAGUGCGUAUCUUCUAAUACAAAGUGAACAUAAGAGUGUUAAGAGAUUUCGUGUCCGUACUCCGUACUCUUUGUAUAUAUUUGGUAAGAGAAUAUUACUUGUGUAUUCCUCAUGUAACCAGCGACUGAUCCAGCAAAGUAUUUGAACUAAUAGCCAUAAAUAUUCUUCAAAAAACACCUUUCAAUUCAAAAUUCCGGGAACAACCACGAAAUGGUUUCAUUAUGAAUAACAUAAGGAAACCAAUUAGCUUGCCCUAACAGAUUUCUUGACAUGUAAACAACAAAUUAACUAAUUAUCUACGUUAACAUGCACAGGCAGGCGUUUAGAAGGGUACAGUAUAAUCCUAUGUAUAAUCUUAAUUAGGAUGCUUUUUUACGUUUUACCAUAACCGUUUCAAAAGUAUUUGUGUACCAAAGAUUAAAAUGAGAGAAACAAAAUUGCCUAUAUUCAAGCAUUUACAGAGGUUUGUAGUUUGCAAGUUCCAACUUACAAGUAACUUCAUACAAAUUUGAUAUAUCUAUUUUCUUUACUUGUUUUUUUGUUGGAUAUCCAUUUUAUAAUUACUUGAAAUAUCAUCAGUUGAUUAAAGAAAAUUAUAGGCUAAUAUAACAAUUAGACAAGGUUACUAAGGUAAUUGUAAACCCUAGUAAGCUCUAUAAAAGACCCGAACUCCAAACCUGUCAUUAGUUUUGAUAUAAAAAAAAAAAAUUUAAUCACAAAAAAAAAUAGUCAUUAGUGGUUGAGCUAUUCCAUGGCCUCAAAAAAAGCAACCGCCAAUCCAAAAUCACACACCUCAAUCCGUACAUGUUCAUGUUCACCGACCACACACCCAGGAUCUUUCCGGUGCAGUUUGCACAGAAAUUCACAUAAACAGGUCAUAAUUUGUAAUGAUCCUGCAAUCGUUGAAAAAUCUGGUGCCAUAAAGGGAUGCCUCCUCCUUCAAAUGAAUCCCUCAGAACAUGAUCCUCGGAGAAGGAGAAAGUUCCAGGCGAGGCCUACCAGGUUCUUCCUAGCCAAUGAAUAACAACAGAAAUGAGGUUGCAGUUUCUUGAUGAUCAAUCGGUCCUAGUUUUUGGAUUUAUUUUUCGGUUCUUAUUUUAAUUUGGGCCCUUUACGUAUAGGUUGGAUUUGAUAGAAACUUGAUCUUCUAGUAGCAUGCACUAUGUAUGGAUGUUCAUGUGAUUAAGUACUUUAAUCGUAUUGGGAAUGAAUAUAUGACAAAUUAGUGAUUUUCUUUUUCACCAUACGGGAUUUCUUUGAUUUCGUAUGGCCACAUUGUGAAACUUGCUACUUCUUCUGUUCUUCUUUUCAUAUUUUUCGUAAUUUUUUUCUUUAAAAGUACAUAACUAGUAAUACAAUAGCAUAUUUGAACCAUGACGAUACCCCAAAAAAUCGUCAGAACAGGCAGUAUGUUUUAUUUAAAUAACAUGAUAAUGAUAUAAAUAAAAUAAAACUUAAGGUAUGAGUACAAGCCGACCUUAGCUCAGUUGGUAGAGCGGAGGACUGUAGUUGGUAAUAUCCAUCAGAUAUCCUUAGGUCACUGGUUCGAAUCCGGUAGGUCGGAAUUUUUUUUUUUAAUUUGUACUUUUACUUAUUCCUAGGUCACUGGUUCGAAUCGGUAGGUCGGAAAUGUUUUUAGUUUUAAAUUUGUACUUUUACAUAGAUUCAAUUUCUGAAUGCUAUCCAAUGUCAUUUAGCCCCCAAAUCAGAAUAGGUUAGUUUGUCUUGUCGGUCUCUUUAUAUUUGAAUCAAAUGAUAAAUCUGUUUUCUUAUUAUUGAACACUUAAUAAAUCAAUAGAUUAUAAUAAUUAGAUGUUUCGCUCGAGCAUUCUUUACAUAAGUUAAAGUAGUUUAGAAUAUAACCCGGUGUCAAAAGAAAAUUAGAAUCGGAUGUUAUUUGACUUGAUUGGUUCCAAGAGUUUUAGGACAUGAACCUUCGGUCCCUUCAACAAAGGCACCUCCUGCGGCCUAUGGGCCAUGAUGCCUGGUUCUCCUCUUCUUCCCCAAGACAUUAAUUAGACAUGUCGAAGGUCAAAAAAAAAAAAAAACUCAGACAAUUCAAAUGCAAGGUACCACAAACUACGCAGACUUUCCAAUGCCUUGUGCUUGAGACAUGCAGUUGGCAGUUUGACCCUUAAUCCCUUUGCAGUUCACAUACUAAAAGAGAAAGAGUAGGGUUCCAGAACUUGUUGCGCCCCCCGCCCCAAAAACCCACCAUGUGGGAGGACUUUUCAGUUCAUCCAAUUGUAUAGGGUAACAUUGGACUUUUCAGUUCAUCCAAUCAUAUAGGGUAACAUUUCUUCUUUUGCAAGAUUAAUAUAAUGACAAAGAAAAAUAACUCUCUUAACGAAACGGCCAGUGUAACUCAUAUAUAUGAUGAAUUGGAGUAUCUUUCUAAACACAAUACGUAUACUAUAUAAGGGUCAAGAACCAAAACCCAAUUAUUUCAGUUACUUAUGUUGUAUAAAAGAAACAAAAGAGGAGUCACAAAGAAAAGUUUAAAUAAAAAGUUACUAAAUGUUAAUUUUUAGGGUUAUUGUAUUUCUGGUGAGUGAAGUAAUUAAAUUAUGGAACUUUAACGAAAAGCUCCUAGUACUGUUUAUUUUAACGAAAAACCAUAUUUUUACACUAAAAAGUUAAUCAUGGUACUAUUCACUUUACCUUUUAUUUUGUCCUUAUCGUUAAAACUUAAAGUUUUCAAGUCAUUUUCAUUAGUUUUCUUAUUAAUUAUUUGAAAGCAAAAUAGAUGGAGAGAGGUCAUUCAUUUUCUGGCCAGUGCGGACAGAGGCCGAAGUGACUUCCACGAGACGAAACUAUGUACCACUGAUUUUCAUUGCAUUACCAUAAACUUUUACUAAUUAUUGGCUUCUUUCACAUCUCUACUUAUUAAUAGCUUGUGGUUAAUCACAAAAAGAUAAAUCUAAUAGUUUUGUAAUAUUUCUUAACGUAAAUGUAAAUUAGAUUGGUUAAUUAAAAUAUUGUAUGGUUCUCUUUCACUCAAAUUUUAAUCUUUCUUUGUUCUCCAAUGAGAGAGUCAUCUAAAGUCCGAAGUUUGGAUCUCUCUGUUCAUAUAUAUAUUUUUUUCUUUUCGUAUAUUAAAUAUAGUCUUCUAACACAAAUAUUCCUACAUAGUCUUUCUAAAAAAGUUAGUACUUCUCAUAAUUAGAAAAGUAUUUUAUACGCGUUUGGCUGGAGAUUCUAGAGUGUACUACUAGCUAUAAUAUAAUUUUUGUCAAUGAGAUUGAUUUGGGCGGCAAGGGAAUUAUAUUGAAGAAGGAGAUAUACAAGACUUGUAGAGCUUGAAAUGGUUGACCCAAGAACUUGGACCUUUUCUUCUCCAUGCAUCAGUGGUCCUCUUGCUCGUCUAGUCAGGUUUUCACAAUGAAUUAAUUACAAAAAUAACAAAAAUUUCGAUGUAGGUUAUUAUUGGCUCCAUUUUAUAGCCCAGGAUUCCUCGAACAUUCUUCUUGAUUUAGACGUUUUUAGUGUAUUAUGAUUACCGUCAUAUGAUAUUAUUAUUUUACUUAAAUUAUAAUAUAUAUAUAUAUAUAUAUAUAUAUAUAUAUAUAUUAAUAUACCUAUAAGUGUGACACGUUUGUAAAAUCAUUUUGUGAAUGACAAUGAAUUAUGCCGAGAAUAAAUGAGGGAAUAAUUAACUUGGACAAUCAAGUUAAUGAAAUUCUCUAGGACUCUCGGUGCCUUAAGGAAAUAAACAUAUUGGAGUCCUAAUUAAAUGCGAUCAAUUAUGGACCUUUAUUAAAUAAAUACAAGGAGUAAGAGUCAUGAUGGGACUUUGAUUAAUUAGAUAUGGUUUGGGUUGAUAUCCUUUCCGAUAAUAGGGAGAAAUUGGUUGAAACCCUAGCUAUAUAACGUAAGAAUAGUCCCUACUUCCAUACCAAUUGAAACUCACGAAAACUACAUGCCUAUUUUGAUAGUAGAGUUCAUUGAGAGGUACUGGAAGUAGAAAACUACUUCUACUUUAUUCACUUUGUUCGCAAGGAUCAAUAGCUUCAUCUUCAUAACCAUGUCUUCCGUAUUCCACACAUAAGUUUAAUAUAAUUAGUCGAUCUCUAUUUUAUAUUGAUUUGAUUUAUUCGUGAUCAUAAUGUCUUGUUGUUAUGAUUUCAGAAUAUGUCUAACAUGUGGUAUCAGAGCCACACAACAAGCAUAGGGUUCGGAUGAAAGAGAGCCGUGAUAUAAUUCCAUUUGGUAUGAUUCCUAUUAACUAUAAUAUAUGGACUAGUCUGGGUGGUGACUAUGGAUACUGCUACCGCUAAGCAGGAACGGAGCCAAAAAUUUCUUCUAGUGGGGGCAACUGAAAACAACUAAGAAAACCGUAUUAUAUAUGGUUAUACGCAAUAUGAUAUUAAGGAUGGUUUUAAAUGAUGAUGUAUCACAAUUCCAAUGUUACAAAAAUUUCAAUAUAGUAGUGGACAGUAGCAAAGUGAUGAGAAAAAUAUAAGUACAUGAUAGGCGGGAGGGUUUUUUUUUGUUUGAAUGACAGAACAAUAGCACUAUUGCUCAUAUAUAAUAUUUGAUAUGGAGUAUAAGUAGAAUGAAUGAAUGUUGGAUAUUAGAUACAUAUAUUUUCUUCAAAGAUAACUGUAGACAUCGAAAUUUCGGUAAAUAAAUGUUGACCGAUAAAUCAAAGUUUCGACGCUCAUGUAUUACAUAAAUUCUACACGUAGCGUAUGUCUAAACAAAAAAAUCGAAAUAAGUUGGAAAAGUCAUCAAAUAGGACACGUGUCAACAUCUGGCAUAAAUGACUUAUUUCAUCUGGAAUAUUAUAUUCAAAAUUAGGCCUUGGAAAUUUCUAUAAAUAGAAGGCUAAUUCAUUCAUUUAGGGGAACCAAAAAAUCAUUAAGUAAGCUCUGAAGCUCUGAAACUCCGAAGCUCUCAAGCAUCCAGGUUCCCGAAGAAUCAAGAAAGCUCUCUUCGUUCUUCGUUCAUCGUUCAUCCUAAGAUCAAGCCCAAACGGCCAUUUGGAUCAACAAUCAUUCACCAAUUCAAGAUCAAGCCCCGACGGCCCUUGAAGAAAGUGUUCUUCGUUCUUCGUUCAUCGUUCUUCCAAGAUCAAACCCCGACGGCCCUUGGAUCAACAAUCACCAAUUCAAGAUCAAGCCCCAAAGGCCCUUGAAGAACUUCCACCAAUUUGAGAUCAAGCCCCUACGGCCCUUGAAGAAAGUGUUCAUCGUUCAUCAUCUGUUCAUCCCGAAGAAUCAAGAAAGCCUUCUUCGUUCUUCGUCCUUCGUUCAUCGUUCAUCCAAGAUCAAGCCCCGACGGCCCUUGGAUCAACAAUCAUCCACCUUUAAGAUCAAGCCCCGACGGCCCUUGAAGAAAGCCUUCUUCGUUCUUCGUUCUUCGUUCAUCGUUCUUCCAAGAUCAAGCCCCGACGGCCCUUGGAUCAACAAGCCACCGUUCUUCAAGAUCAAGCCCAAAAGCCUUUGAAGAUCCGUUCAUCACUGUUCUUCAAGAUCAAGCCCAAAAGCCCUUGAAGAUCCGCUCAUCACCGUUAUUCAAGAUCAAGCUUUAACGGCCCUUGAAGAAACAUUCAUCCUCAAGAUCAAGCCCCAACGGCUCCUUGAAGAUCCGCUCAAAUCCACCUUCAAAGAUCAAGCCCACGGCCCCUUGAAGAAACUUCCAACAGUUCAUCCAAGAUCAAGCCUCAAUGGCACUUGGAUCAACGAAACAUCCACAAAUCAACACCUUACGGAUAUCGAAUCAGAUGAUCAAAUUUGAGAGAGAUUGUAACCCAAAAUCAUCAAAAUACAAAUAUUUGUUUGUGCACGUUGUUCUUGUCUCUUUCGUUUCAGAAAAUUUUCGUGUUCACAAAUUGGCACGCCCAGUGGGACAAUCUCUACCUCUCAUCUCUUUCUUCGUUCAAGGAAUCCAAACACACCUUAAAGUCAAUGGCAUCAAGCAAGGGACAAACCGUUCUCGCAACCACUGAGGGAAGGAUCCUAAGCACUUCUGCCGCAAACGGACAAUCCAUUGGCGCCACAACCACUCUUCAACAUGCCACUUCAAAGUUUGUGCCGUUAAAGGAGCAAGGGGAGCAUCAAAGGCGACUGUCCGUCAUCAACCUGACCUCGUUUGGGGCACCGAAGCAUGAUGCUGAGGCACACAAGAUGACAACCCAAAGCAGCCAACGACGUUCUUCAUCAGCAUCCUGGAUGUCUAAAGGAAAGUCACGUCUAUUGGUCGCACAAGUUAUGACUAUCGGCGUUACCUCCAUCGAAUAACAACUGGCUCAAAUGAAUGAAACGAUUGCAAGGCUAACACAGAUUAUGGAAGAAAAAGACUUGCAAAUCGCUGCACUCGUCAGCCGACUGGAGCCACAGGACAGCGAGAACCCUAACCCAGAAGAUAAGCCUACGGUAGAGAGAAUCAAUGUGAAGCCAGAGCCAGACCAAGCAGCGGCACUCAUGGGAUCUCUUUCUAUCCAGCAGCUGCAAGAGAUGAUCACCAACACCAUCAAGGCACAGUACGAAUGGAGCUCAAAUACAUCCGGGUUGUACUCGAAGCCGUAUUCAAAGAAGGUCGACGCCUUAAGGAUGCCGAAGGGUUAUCAACCGCCAAAGUUCAUGCAAUUUGAUGGAAAGGGAAAUCCGAAACAGCACGUUGCCCACUUUGUUGAAACUUGCAACAACGCAGGGACCGAAUGGGACUACCUCGCCAAGCAGUUUGUGCGCUCGCUAAAAGGAAACGCCUUUAAGUGGUACACGGACCUAGAGCCUGAGUCCAUCAACAGCUGGGAGCAAUUGGAGCGGGAAUUCCUCAACCGCUUCUACAGCACCCGCCGCACUGUGAGCAUGCUAGAAUUGACGAGCACAGAGCAGUGGAAGGACGAGCCAGUCAUUGACUACAUCAACAGAUGGCGCACUUUAAGCCUCGACUGUAAAGACAGGCUCUUGGAAACCUCUUCAAUCGAGAUGUGCAUCCAAGGCAUGCAAUGGGGUUUGCAAUACAUCCUUCAAGGCAUUAAACCACGGACCUUCAAGGAAUUGGCCACCGCGCCCAUAACAUGGAGUUGAGCAUCACCCAUCAUGGGAAGAAGGAACCGAUCGCCGACUACAAGAACGACAAAGAUCUUGAGACAAAGGUGGAGAAGGUUACGGGGAAAUCUACCAAGGAAGCAAUGACAGUCAACACAGCUCCCGUCAAAAUCCCUACACGAGGCAAGGCGAUUCAAGCCGAAGGCUUUCGUGAUCAAGAGAUGCGUAAACGCACUUUGAAGGAGCUUGAGGAGAAAACUUAUCCAUUCCCCGACUCUGAUGUGGUUGCCAUGUUAGAAGACUUGCUGGAAAAGAAGGUGAUCGGCUUGCCUGAGUGCAGACGGCCAGAAGAGAUGAAUCGCACCGACAGUCCAAGGUAUUGUAAAUUCCACCGCUUCAUCAGUCAUCCGACAGAAAAGUGCUUCGUGCUGAAAGAUCUCAUCAUGAAGCUGGCUCAGAAAGGAAUCAUCAAGCUAGAUCUUGACGAUGUGGUGAAGUCAAACUAUACCACCAUCACUUCUGGUUCUUCCGACUCAAAAUUUUUACCUCAACCUCCGGGGGCAUCCUUCAAGACAAGCAAAGUUGAAGGAUGGACUCAAGUCACUCCUAAGAAAUUGCACAAGAAGCAUACGUCUCCUUCACAAGUCCGCCAAUCGGAAAUGGGGCAAAACAGCUCUUGUCAACCUUCAAAGCAACGUGAACGUGUUGAAGAUGAUGAAAUUACGACACAAAGAUCGUCUGUUGCCAUCACAAUGCGCGACUUCUUACCCGAAGACUUCUUCAAUCACGCGGUCAAGGCUCCUUAUUAUGAAGAUUGUGAGGAACGCCUUUCCAAAAUUGCUUGACAAAUUCACCAAUUCUCCUCGCCCGCACGAGUCUAAACUGCAUGGCACAAAGCUUCUGGUCUGCACGAGCAUAAAAGGCAACACCAAUGCUCCUUGUUCGCACGAGCCUAAACUGCACGAACUAAAGCUCAUUGCCCGCACGAGUCUAAACUGCAUAGCACAAAGCUCCUGGUCUGCACGAGCAUAAAAGGCAACAUCAACGCUCCUGACCCGCACGAAUACUUUAUUUCUUUAAAGGAAUGAGUUAGCAGGCGGCAUGGUCAGUGUGCACGGCGACGUCACCUCCGAGGAAAGUUGCAAUAAAAGGCACUACACAGCAUAAACUCGCUGCAGUCUUUUGCACAACCCCACACGAUAAAAGCGACGUACUGGAACGAGCUCCAAGCAGCAACAGCAGUACAUUCUGGCCACCAUGCUCCAAUCGACGAGGAAACUUCAAUGACCGCCGUCAAACGACUAGCCGGUCAUAAAGCUCGACGCUUUACAUUUUUGCCUCGAGCACAAAGCAGCAAGACCGUCGACACCAACUUCGUCACUUUAGCCACCAUGCUCCAAUCGACGAAGAAACUUCAAAGACCGCCGUCAAACGACUAGCCGGUCAUGAAGCUCGACGCUUUACAUUCUGCCUCAAGCUGCAAGCAGCAACGGUAAGCAGCAAAGCUGCCAGCACCAGCUUCGUCACUCUGGCCACCAUGCUCCAAUCGACGAAGAAACUUCAAUGACCGCCGUCAAAGGACUAGCCGGUCAUGAAGCUCAACGCAUUACAUUUUGCCUCCAGCUCUAAGCGGCAAGGGCAGCAGCAAGGCUGUCAACACCAGCUUCGUCACUCUGGCCACCAUGCUUCAAACGACAAAGAAACUUCAAUGACCGCCGUCAAAUGACUAGCCGGUCAUGAAACUCAACGCAUUACAUUCUGCCUCAAGCUCCAAGCAGCAAGACUGCCAGCACCAGCUUCGUCACUCUGGCCACCAUGCUCCAAUCAACGAAAAGACUUCAAUGACCGCUGUCAAACGACUAACCGGUCAUGAAGCCUCUACUGCAGUUCUCCGUCCGUCUGCAUCCUCCCUCUGCUCAAUCUUCUGCCCAUUGCCAAGCAACAUAUGGGGGUAUUUAUAGAAAAAAAAAGAAAAGGGUGAUGAUUUAAAAAAAACAAAUAAAAUAAAAUAAAAAGAUGGUGCGGUUUGCACCAUCUAAAAAGAAAAAAUAUAAAAUAAAAAAUAAAAAAUAAAUAAAUUUAAAAAAAGGGGGUGGUGCGGAUUGCACCAUCUGAAAAGAAAAAAAAAAAAAAAAGGGGGGGAUGGUGCGGAUUGCACCAUCUAAAAAGAAAAAAAAAAGUAUAAUAAAAUAACAUAUAAAAUAUAUAUAUAUAUAAUAAAAAAUAAUAAUAAAUUAAAAAAAAGGGAUGGUGCGGAUUACACCAUUGAAAAGAAAAAAAAUAAUAAUAAAAAAAUAAUUAAAAAAAAGGGGGGAUGGUGCGGAUUUGCACCAUUUGAAAAGAAAAAAAAAUAUAAUAAAAAAAAUAUAUAUAAUAUAUAUAUAUAAAUAAAAUAAAAUAAAUAAAUAAUAAAUUAAAAAAACAGGUGAUGGUGCAGCUUGCACCAUCUGAAAAGAAAAAAAAAGAUAUAAUAAAAUAAUAUAAGAAAUAUAUAUAUAUAAAAAUAAAUAAAUAAUAAAAAAAAGGGAUGGUGCGGAUUGCACCAUUGAAAAGAAAAAAAAUAAUAAUAAUAAAAGGGGGGAUGGUGCGGAUUGCACCAUCUGAAAAGAAAAAAAAAUAAUAUAAAAAUUAAAAAUUAAAAAUAAAAAAAUAAAUUAAAAAUUAAAUAAAUUAAAAAAUUAAAAAAAAGGGAUGUUGCGGAUUGCACCAUAUGAAGAAAAAAAAACAAAUGCAUUGAGAGAAAUAAAGUCCAUUUCAUUGAUUUCUCUGGAAAAAAUUACAGACGGAACAUUUACAUACCAAAAAAAAAAAAAAAAAAAAAAGGUGCAAACAAACAAAAGCCUUCAUUGAUCAGGUGGCACCUCAUCACUCGGCGGAACUCCAGGCAGAAGAGGAACCGGAGGUUGAUCAUUUGGAGCUUCAUUACGCGGUAUAGCCCCAAAAGACGAAGGCAAAUGCUGUUGGAACAAACCCACAAACCUUUGAUGAUCAAGUAAAAUCUGACCAUCAGAUUCCUGCAUCUGGUUAAUCUUCCUCUUCAUGUUUGUAGCAUAGCUAUGUGCAACAGUUUAUUCUCAUGCUUAAGCCCCCUAAUCUCCUGUUUGAGACUCAUCACUUCAGCCGCCAAGGAUUCAACUUGACGGGUUCGAGCAAAUAGGCGUUGGGCCAUAUUAGACACAGAACCUACACACUGCACACUAAGAGCCAGAGAAUCCUUAACAGCCAACUCAUCAGACCGUUUGGAAAGUAGUCUGUUAUCUCUGGAGUGACAAGGUUCCGGGCCACCACCGCAGCGGUCAUAUCAUUCUUCAUCACCGAAUCCCCAACGGUAAGAGGACCAGUAGGGGAUAUGAAUGAUGGGCGCCAUAUGUUGUCUGGAGAAGGCGGGACUGCCUCUUCACCAAGGUUCAAAUCAAGACAACGGUCGGAGGGUCCAGACAUUUUCAAAGGUGUUGAAGAAAGAAGAAGUCGGACAAAUCAAGAUCUUAGAAGUGCAAGAAGAGAGUUUUCUACAAGCAAAAAAUUCAAGUGUGCUUUGAAACGAAGUGCGUGCCUUUAUAAAAAUCAACACUCGACGGGAUUUCAGAAAUUGAAGAAGCGAGCUCAGAAUUCGAAGAGGCCAAUUCAAAAAUCGAAGAGGCAAGCUCAGAAAUCGAAGAAGCAUCUUGCUUUUCCAGACGCGUUAGCACCCGUCACGCGCAAACUCAGCUUUACAGAAAUCACGGGCAAUUUGUUAAAGCGUCAAUCCCAGAUAUCGAAGAGGCGCCAGUCUUUUUCAGCCUCGUCAGCACUCGUCAUGCGCAAACUCAUCUUUGCGGAAAUCACAGGCAAUUUGUCGAAGCGCCAAUCCCAGAUAUCGAAGAGGCGCCAGUCUUUUUUCAGCCUCGUCAACACCUGUCACAUGCACACUCAGCUUGGCGGAAAUUACGGACAAUUUGUCAAAGAUUUCUGAUAAAGAAGAAAGCACGUGAAGCCAUACCGAUCAAUCACGCAUUGGUUGCCGACACGAGUGAAAGAAUAAUACCUCUACAAGUAUUAAAAGACUUCCUAUAACUGUCCACCUUCACCUUCCAUAGCAAGGCAGACAUACAUAACCUUUCUUCAUCUCCGAGAACCUUUCUUCAUCUCCGAAAACCUCUCUUCAUCUCCGAGAACCUUUCUUCAUCUCCGAGAAUGCUUUCCCAACGAAGCCUCUCGAGUUACUCAGUGUUUCUUAUUCCUUGGGGUACCUCUGCAAACAAAUGACACCAAAGCAAAAGUAUCUCAUAUGAACAGGGUAGAAAGCAAGAGUAUCUCAUAUCAUGCUUUCUCCUCGUCCUUUCCUUUGUCCUUGUUCUUACCUGCAAAGACAAGGAUAAAGAAAACAAUAUGCCGGAACCUCCACUCAAACUCGGGUAAGGAACCGACUGCUUGGAACCCUUCACUGAUUGCCUACUUAGCACUGCUCUCGAGUACUCGUCUCUCACUGCUGCUGUACUUCCAAAGAAGCUGCCACAUCUGCCUGAAGAACAGAUAAGGCAAGUGAAAAUGAUACCUUGCAGCAUGUGGAAACAACGUGCAGAAGAAACAAGCAGAGAAGAAUGCAGCCUGCAUAGUCAACUUAGCAGAAGGAGUCUGAGAUGAGGAACUCGAGAAAAUGCCACAUCUGCCUGAGGAACAGAUAAAGGAAAUGAAAAUGAUACCUUGAAGCAUGUGGAGACAAGUGCAACAAAGCACGUGCUGAUUCAUCCGCUACUUCUUCAAAAUCAAAAGUAUCUCAUAUCAUCAGGGUUGCAAUCACUCUGGACGGUGAACUCGUUUUGACCCUCAAAUUCUUGGGUCGACUUACUAGGCGUUGUGGACUGCAUGUGCCGUUUCACCACCCUUGAAUCAAAUCCUUAAAGAUCAAGUCACCAACUGGAAGAAGAGCCCAUCAAUCUUGAAGAUCAUACCGUUGACCAAACUGCUCAGGUGUGAAUUAGAAAGAUUGAACAGAGCAACAAGUCGUCACCUUCACCUCGUGCCUGCUUGUCAUGUGUUCGAGUCAACCCUCAAGAAUCAAGCUUUAACGGCUCUUGAAGAAGCUUCCAGCCAAAUUCAAAAUCAAGCCUCGACGGCCCUGGAAAAAAUCACAAGACCGAUUCAAGAUCAAGUGUCCACCACCCUUGAAUUAAACCCAGUUCAAGAUCAAAGCUGUGGAAAGUCAACAAGCGCAAAAAACAAAUAUGUGCUAAUUCAUCCACUACCAAAGCCAAAGAUCAUCUACCACAUGAAGCUCUUUGUGGUCCAAAUUCAACCUUCAAGAUCAAGCCUCAACGGCCCUUGAAGAAAUCUCAAGCCCAAUUCAAGAUUAAGCCUCAACGGCCCUUGAAGAAAUCUCCAGCCCAAUUCAAGAUCAAGCCUCGAUGGCCCUUGGAUCGACAUCUACAGUAAGGGACUUCAAAACGCAUCUCCUACACGUGACAAGCACAUGUAUACGACACGCCUUGAAGUGGGGGCAUUUGUAGACAUCGAAAUUUCGGUAAAUAAAUGUUGACCGAUAAAUCAAAGUUUUGACGCUCAUGUAUUACAUAAAUUCUACACGUAGCGUAUGUCUAAACAAAAAAAUCGAAAUAAGUUGGAAAAAUCAUCAAAUAGGAUACGUGUCAACAUCUGGCAGAAAUGACUUAUUUCAUCUGGAAUAUUAUAUUCAAAAUUAGGCCUUGGAAAUUUCUAUAAAUAGAAGGCUAAUUCAUUCAUUUAGGGGAACCAAAAAAUCAUUAAGUAAGCUCUGAAGCUCUGAAACUCCGAAGCUCUCAAGCAUCCAGGUUCCCAAAGAAUCAAGAAAGCUCUCUUCGUUCUUCGUUCUUCGUUCAUCGUUCAUCCUAAGAUCAAGCCCAAACGGCCAUUUGGAUCAACAAUCAUCCACCAAUUCAAGAUCAAGCCCCGACGGCCCUUGAAGAAAGUGUUCUUCGUUCUUCGUUCAUCGUUCUUCCAAGAUCAAACCCCGGCGGCCCUUGGAUCAACAAUCACCAAUUCAAGAUCAAGCCCCAAAGGCCCUUGAAGAACUUCCACCAAUUCGAGAUCAAGCCCCUACGGCCCAUGAAGAAAGUGUUCAUCGUUCAUCAUCCGUUCAUCCCGAAGAAUCAAGAAAGCCUUCUUCGUUCUUCGUCCUUCGUUCAUCGUUCAUCCAAGAUCAAGCCCCGACGGCCCUUGGAUCAACAAUCAUCCACCUUCAAGAUCAAGCCCCGACGGCCCUUGAAGAAAGCCUUCUUCGUUCUUCGUUCUUCGUUCAUCGUUCUUCCAAGAUCAAGCCCCGACGGCCCUUAGAUCAACAAGCCACCGUUCUUCAAGAUCAAGCCCAAAAGCCUUUGAAGAUCCGUUCAUCACUGUUCUUCAAGAUCAAGCCCAAAAGCCUUUGAAGAUCCGUUCAUCACCGUUAUUCAAGAUCAAGCUUUAACGGCCCUUGAAGAAACAUUCAUCCUCAAGAUCAAGCCCCAACGGCUCCUUGAAGAUCCGCUCAAAUCCACCUUCAAAGGUCAAGCCCACGGCCCCUUGAAGAAACUUCCAACAGUUCAUCCAAGAUCAAGCCUCAACGGCCCUUGGAUCAAUGAAACAUCCACAAAUCAACACCUUACGGAGAUCGAAUCAGAUGAUCAAAUUUGAGAGAGAUUGUAACCCAAAAUCAUCAAAAUACAAAUAUUUGUUUGUGCACGUUGUUCUUGUCUCUUUCGUUUCAGGAAAUUUUCGUGUUCACAAUAACCCAUGUAUAUUAUAUAAUUGUAGUCUGCAACUAAACAAACGAAUUACUUGAGUGGAGGCGUUUGCCCCCAGUGAACCUUCAUUGGCUCCAUCCAUGCCGCUAAAUAGUAUUCAUGAAAUUUUAUUUUUCCCUUUUGGCUCUCGCUUAAUUAUUAGGAAUGGGUUUGUUUUGCUUUCAUGGAUAAGGCAUAAAGAAGUGAGUAUUUUCAGGUUUCUUUGUCUCCUAUAAUCCCUAAAAUUAAGAUAAAUAAAUAAAUAAAUAAAUAAAUAAAAUAUAUAUAUAUAUAUAAUAUUGGUUCGACUAAUCAUGCUCUAGUGAUAUGAUUCUGGUUUUUUUUUUCUUGCUUCCGCUUAUUGCCUUUAAAUUUUUAAAUUUGGUAAGUUUGCUUGUAUUCAUAUUAUUUUGAGUUGAUGGAUCAAAUUGACCUUAUGGAUACUGACUUCCUGGGUGAGCCAUUGUAUAGGAUUUCAUGAUUUAAAAUUCUGAAUUUGGAUGCCAUGACACUAACAUGUUUUAGGCAGGCACACAUGUUCAUUCAUAUCUUGGAUGAAUGUGUGAACUCAGUCUGCAUAAAUUAGAAAGGUUUGAGAACCCUUUUCAAUUCCCAAAUCUUGCGAUCCUAAGGAGAUUGAGCUAUAUGUACAUAUAAUAUCUCGUUCACAUGUUAAGUUUUUAUGCCCAGAAUUGGGGUUGUGAGGAUUUUCUUCAAUCACUUUUAAUUGUCGUUUGUUCUAAUCUGCUGCAUAAUUUUGAGUAAUGGAUUAAUAAAUCAAAUUUUUCCUUCAUUUGAUAUAUGUAAUUAGAUUUCAGUUCAUGUCUACUACAUUUGUCCUUUGUGUUUACUGAUAUUCGUCUUCAAACAUAAAAUUAGAUAACUUGAGACCCAAUUGAUUUUGAGAAAUUCCUCAAAUACACACAUUAAUGCCGUGGCCAUUUUGGUUUCACUUUUGAAGUGUUUUCUUAUCUUAGAAGUGAUUUUGAUAUAUCACAAUGGACAUGCUAAAGGUUGUUUUAAAAACAAGACUAUGAUGUUCUAUUUUUGUUUCUGAUCUUGAUAGACUUCCAUAACUCCAAAUAUUAUGAAAUUUUGUCAUUUUGUAAUAUCGAAUGAAUUAUAGACGCUGGUAUUUUUUUCUCAUUUUUUUUGACAAGAAAUGAAUUUAUGGUAAAUUUGAAGUGUUACACUAUGUUGCUGGAAUUCUGCACCAUAGUCUAUUUGUGACAGUAUUUUGAUAUAUUAUAUAUAUAUAUAUAUAUAUAUAUAUGUAACUCAUAAAUUCAGGAACUUUUAGUAUGAUAUACAUUGAGAUGUUUAUUUCAGGUCUGGAAAUUUUCAUGCACAUUGGUUUGAAAAUGACUUAUUGGUGAAUUUUUAACCUCGGGACUAUACUGCAGAAUUUACGCAGCUUCUGCAGCACAUUCCAUUUCGAUUUUAUUUUUAGCCCACUUUUAAGAUUGCAAAAAUUAUGGAACUUUGGGUGACAGUAAAUUUAUAUGUCUACUUCAUUUCUGGAAAUUUUCAUAAACAUUGGAGAAAAAAUUGAAUUUUUGGUGAAUUAUUUAGUCUCGGGUACGUACUGCAGAAGUUUUGCCGUUUCUGCAGCACAUCCCAUUUCUAAUUUUCUUUUAGUACACUUAUAAAAUCUCAAAAAUUAUGAAAUUUUGGGAAAUAACAUCUUUGUAUGUUUCCUUAUUUUUGAAAAUUUUCAUGCAUAUUGUCACAACCCGUCCCAAAAUAUUUUAUCAAUGGUGUGAAUUGACCAUUCUACCCUUAAGCGUUUCGUGGUGUUGUGUAGAUUGGACUAAGGAAAUAGGGGCCAAUUAGCUUUAUUCCUAAUUAAUUGGACCCAAUUAAAACUUAAGGACUUAAGGUUUGUUUUGAUUGGUGACCCAGCUGGACCACACACACUCACACAAACCCUUUCCCGUUGACCUUCUCUCUCUCCUUCCCUUGUAUUUUCUACCAUUUCCGUACACUUGUAUGGACAACACCCAAACCAGACCCUAUCUUCGCAGAUCGACGUCAAGGAGGUUGUUUUUGUGUUCCUCAUGAGUCCAGGUGGUCAUCCAUGCCCUUAGUUUGACGUGAAGACCUUGUUUUCCGAGAACCAGAAAUCCCAGUUUUGAUACAAUGUUCAUACACUUGUGAUUUCAAAGUUUUUAGGAGAUUUUAAGCUGCUAGUGAGCUUUAGGACAUCUUCACGAAGCUCGGAGAAGAAAAACGAAGUGUUUUGGACGUCGGGAAGUUGAGUUUGGCAAGUUUCAAGUUUGGCCGGAUUAUCGAUCGUUCUCCGAUGAAAUCCCGUGGAUUUUAGGGCUUUAAAUUGGUAAGGUUUUGCUCUUCUCGUUGUAAGCUUCAUUUUGGUACAAAUUUCAUGGAUUUUGGUAUAAAAAUGAAAAAGAUAUGAAGGUUCUUAUAUUUUCCAGUUUCCGGCAAUCGCAGCGGCGCCGGCGAAAUUCUCCGACAAACCAAGGAAGAUGAAGGAGAAUAUUCCAUCAAGUCUAAUAGAAUAUUCUAACGGCGUCAGGUAACACCGUUAACUUCUUUUAAGAUUUAACGGAAUGUUCCUAACGGCAGUUAAGUUUCAGUUAGGGUUUGGCCGCUCGUGGGGGGUGCGUCUGGCCGUGCCUUGGCCGGCGUGUGGGAGGUUGAAAAUUUUUCUAAAAAUAUGGGGAUGUUCCUGAGGAUGAGUAGAUCAUGGUGGUAUAUUCAAAUACCCCAUUUGAGCAAUGUAUGAAAAGUUAUUUUCUAGUUUGUGUAUGUGCUUUAAAUAACAUUUAUUCAGUUAUUUCGCAUAUAGGUGAGAACUAUCCUGAGGACGAGCGCCAUCAAUCGAGGCUUGGGGGCUACGACCCUUCGACAUACCAGUGAGUGGGCUUUUAGUUUUUCAUAUAUACCUAUAUACUUGAGAUUUUUCCUAGAAAAUGAAUUUGAAUGAUUAUACGUUUUGAAAUGCCAUGCAAAGUAUCCGCCUAUUUUAUUUAUGCAUUAGUAGUUGCAUGUAAUUAUGAUUAGUAGUUGCAUGUAAUUAUGUGAGAGAUGAUGUGAUGUUUUGAGAGCUCAUAAACUUGCACCUCGGUGUUAGUGUUCCCGCCCAGAGUUAAGGCACAGUCCUUCACGUGAUGUUCACCUCCCGCACCAUAUGCUCACCUUGGAUCCAAUUUAGGUGCACAGGCUUGUCGUACAUACCACUUUAGGUGGUUCCGACUCGUAGGUGACCCGCGAUCAUUCGCACAGCCUCCAUGUGAUUGUAGCACUAGAGCAUAUUUACUUUACACCUAGUCUUGUCGUACAUACCACUUUAGGUGGUUCCGACUCGUGUGCAUGAUUUGAUUGAUAUGAUUGAGAUUGGUUAUGAGCUAUAUACUCAGCCAUGCAGAUUGAUUUAGAGGGAUUUGGCUGAUGCGAUAUUUGACAUUGAUAUGUUUUGCUUGGAUUACUUAUAGCAUUGCAUUGAGAUACUUUGGCAUGGUAUACUUCUAUGGAUUUUCAUCUUGAAUAUAAUUUCUGAUACAACCUAUUAUUAUUAUUAUUAUUAUUCUAGGAAGUUAUACAGGUUUUACAGCGAGGGGUUAGAACUUUUGAGAAAUGAAAUGAUUUUGAAAAGUUUUGUUUUUGCCCACUCACACUUUCUGUUUUGAGCCCAUCCAGGUUUUAGGUAGAAGUGCUUUGAUGGAUCACGAAGAUUUCGACGGGGGUUCUGACAGAACAUCAUAAAUGUAGGAUCACCCUUGAAUGUUUUAUAAUUAGUACUUAUCCUGCUUGAUUGCACUUAGACUAUUUAUGCUCUGGUUAUGUAUUUCACACUUAAUCUCGCACUAGCACUCUAUCUUAGCUAGUACUGCUAGUAGUUGGUUUUUAUUCAGUCGUAUUUCCCUUGUAUCUCUUUUGCUUCCGCACUGUGCACAUGGUUACGUCACUCUCACGUGAUGACCAGCAUGCCUUGAUUUAGGUCGAGGUGUGUCACAUAUCGGUUGAACAAAGAAUAUUUAGUGAUAUUUUAAUCUCAGGUAGCUAUUGGAGAUUUUGUAUAGUUUAUAUAGCACAUCUUUUUUUCGAAUUUGUUUUUUUUUUUACUCUCUUGUACAAUUUAAAAAUCAUGAAAUUUUUCAAAAAAAGUAGUCAUAUAUGUCUAGUGCAUACCUAAAAAUUUUUACGACAAUCUAAAGAGAAUUGAGUUUUUAGUGAAUUUGCAAGCUAAAGUAGUACUAAUGAAUUUUGGCACUUCAAAACUAGUUUUGUUAUGUGAUAUUGUUUCACUGAUUUGUGCACAUCUAUUAAUACCGAUUAUUGUACAAAUUUAUGGGUCCAAUAUGUUCUUAUUUUAUGCAAAUUCUCAAUAAUAAUGGCUUUUAUUAGAUAACAUUGAUUAAAUUUUGAUUUAAAGAUGUAUUGGUUUAUUUUGCUUAAACCAAUGUUUUUUGUUUGGUCAUCAAUUUUGAUUAUGAUGAUAAUUGUCUUUUGAGAUAAAAUUGGAAAGUGGCAUCAGUUUACUAAUUGAUCAUUUUGAUCCCUAUCGAAUAACUGAAUAACCAUAUUUCCUCUUUUGAGAACUCUAUUGUCCAAUGUCAAUAACGACAUACUUUUGUGUUUGAUUUAAUCUUUUGAGAAUUAUUGAAUAUCCAACAAAACGGUUAUUUAAUAUUGUUCUAAAGGAUUAUUUUGAAAAAUCAGAAUUCUAAUUUAUAUGGUGAAUACUUUUGCCCAAUGGAAAUUUUAGGAAAUCACUCACCAAUUAUAAAUUAGUACUAUAACAAAUCAUAAAGUACUUCCAACAUAUUUUCAUAUGGCCAAAACUAUUGAAACUAUAUGUAUUUUGUGUAUUUUAUGUUUUGGCAAGCAAUGCAGGUAUUUUUCACAUGAUUUGUUUAUGCCCAAAUGUGUAACAAUCAUGCAAUUUGCAGUUGGUUCGACGAUUCUCCAAAACUCGAUUACAUCCAUUGUGUAUUUUGCAGAAUCAAGAACGAAAUAGGUAAAUGUGUCAAUCUUUUGCCUUAAUUUUCUCUGGCUUCUAAAUUAAUUAAUAUAUGGGUACAAAUUAAAACUAAAAAGAAAAUUGGUACAAAUUAAAAAAGGUUUGCAAAUUAAAAAUGGGUACAAACUAAAAAUAAAAAUAUAUGAUAAAAAAUUUAGCCAUAAAUAUAAAUAUACUAAUUGUAACAUUUUUAACACUAAAUGAAUAUUUUUAGGUAAAAAUAUUUUAUUAUUGAAAUAAUUAAUGAUAUUAUUAAUACCUAAGGACCUUGAUAAAAAAUUGAAAAUGAAUAAGGUUUUAAUCAAUGAAAUAGCAAAAUGAGGGAUGAGAACCUAAUUUCUCCUUGUAUAUACUUCAUAUGCUCAAAAGUGUUGAAACUAUAUUGUAACAUCUCACAUUGCCCAGGGGAGUGGAUCAUUUAUGCCUUAUAUGUAUAUUCUCAUCUCUACCUAGCACGAGGCCUUUUGGGAGCUCACUGGCUUCGGGUUCCAUCGGAACUUCGAAGUUAAGCGAGAUCGCAGCGAGAGCAAUCCCAAGAUGGGUGACCCAUUCGGAAGUUCUCUUGUGAGUUCCCAGAAACAAAACCGUGAAGGAGUGGUUGGGGCCCAAAGCGGACAAUAUCGUGCUACAGCAGAGUCGAGCCCGGGAUGUGGUGGGUGUCCGGGCCGAGAUGUGACAUAUAUACGUUUGCCCUUGUAUUUUAUGUUUUAAUAUAAUUAGUUGAUCUCUAUUUUAUAUUGAUUUGAUUUAUUCGUGAUCCUAAUGUCUUGUUAUUGUGAUUUCAAAAUAUGUCUUACAUCGUUCUCCAUAAUUUGUACUGUAAUGAGUUUGCAUCUUCGAGAGGACCACCAAAAACAAAACUUAAUCUGGUGAAAAUAUAGGUAAUCCAUAAGGAAACUACAUUUUUAAUUAAUUCUUUCUGAUUUUUUUUACAUUUAAUAAAUACAUGUAUAGCUUCAAACUAAACUAAUUAACAACCAGUAGCCAAAAAAGAUUUGAUUGCACCAAACAAAAAUGAUGUUUCCUGAAUUAAAAAGAGUAGUAAAGAUUAAACAAAAACAAAUAUUUUGUUCAAAUCUCAUAUAGAUUGAAGCCUGCUACCCGAAAUUUGUGGAGGUUCAAAUCGAGUAACCGGCACAGAUGAGUUAGAUGAGCAUUAGUGCAGCAUAUAGAGAAACGUAAGUUCGAUGAUUUGACUCACUACCAACCUAACAUGCAUGAUGCAAAAGCUUUGACACAAUUUGUCCUUCUGAUUCGUCCACAAUAUCUUCAUUUGUGAACUAAUUAAAAACUUAAACGAGCUAAUAGCUAGGUAUGUAAACAAGGCAUGAUUUAUUUUCGUAGGGAGAUUCGAGAAGCUAGAUUUGCCACCCAACUAAUUCUUAAUUACUAAUUCCUAAAUAAUUAAGAGACUAUUAUUGUGUGACAACUGACAAGUUGUUGAAGAGUAGUGCAUGUAAAGUUUCUAACCUAAAUCCUUACGUAAAAUCAACAAACCAAAGUAAUUAUAUUACUAAUUUUGGUGCUAGAUCGAUGUAGGUGUAUCUAAUUAACUAACAUUUGUUGAAGUUUUUUUUUUGUGAAAAUUUACUUAUUACUCAUUUGUCCCACAUUGGUCAAGUUGAAACCUUUCUCACACUUCGUAAUACUUUGUCAUUCUUACCAAGUGAUUGGUAAAUGGAUUUUGGAGAGGAAAUUUGGGCUUAAACCUUUGGUUUGUGUUUUGGAGUGUGAUAAUUAAUAUAUAUAACACAAAAAAUGCAUCUCUCCUACUAAAAUCCCACAACCUGAGUAAGGACGAAAUUCUCUUUCAAAAACAUUGCGGUACGCAAGCCUCGAUCAUUAUAUUGUUUGUUUAAUAUUAAUUUCGUUCAUAUAUAUUCAGUCAAUAUACUUAGUGGCAAUUUAUUGUUUAUUAGCAUAUAAUACUUGUAUAUUAUAUAUAUAUAUAUAUAUAUAUAUAUAUAUUUGUCAUUGAUUAUUGAUAAAUAAUCAAAAAAUUUGUGUUAGCUUAAGCUCAUUCUUUUACUGCCUGUGAGAUAAUAUGACCAACUACACGAGGACUACAUAGUAUCAACAAAUGUAUGGUUAAAUUGACAAAAUAAAAUACGAUAUAUAAUAAACUGUUGUAGAAUGUAUUGCAUAAUGUAUCGAAUAACUGCUCGAAAAAUGCAAUUCAGUUGUAAAGUCCAAGCAUUGCAGAUUUGGACUCUAGUGUUCUAUCUGAAGGCAUGACCCAUCAUAUUGCCACACUUUGCCAUGUUGUCGGACAUCAUUAGAGAUGUUAUGAUAUUCCACAACUUGAUUAAUUAAAAUUGUGAUCGGAUAACUUUAUUGUAAUAUGAUUUGUCUAGGAAAGACUCAAGUUUUGAAGUUAGCCAUCUACUUUCAUUAUCUUUAACGAAUGGAUAAUAUAUUAUAAAGGUGUAAUUUCUUUAAUUAAGCAAGUAGGUUUGUGUGGGUUGUCUUGAAAGCAACUUAGUUGUUCAUGAAGAACGAUUAGGAGCAUAAACCACCGUGCCUACCGUAAAGGAUGGAACUAGAAAUUUCGUUUAGUGGGGGAAGAUAAAAAAUAAUAUUACCAAACUUAUUAUCUUAUGGCUCAUACCCAAAUUGAUGAUGCGGAUGAUAUCAUAUGCUAUGAUGUAUCACAAUUUUAAAGGGACCUGGAUUGUCUGCUCUCCCCAUCCAAUACAAUUCCCGUCCUCUUGUAUUUAUGUGGUUACGGUUAAACCACGUCAACAUUUUAUAUUGAUUUUUUUAUAGAAAUAAUAAGCAAAAAGCAAUGAGAAUAUAAAAUGUUGACGUGGCUUAACCGUGAUCACAAAAAUAUGAAGGAAUGAGAAGAGUAUGAGAUAGGGGAGGGCAGACAAUCCAAGUCGAUUUUAAAGUUAAAAAAGUUUCAUUCUAGUAGUGAAAAAGUGAAAGUGAGAGAAAUAAUACAUGAGAGGCAAAAGAACAACUUUCUCUCUCUACUUCAUUAUAUUCUUCUUCAUCUUUACAAUAUAUUUGUUCAAAUAUAUACAACUGCAGGCUGCAGCUUAAGAUCGAAAUUACUUGAUUGGAAGCAGUUGCUCCGAGUGGACCGCUUCAUCCAGCGGCCCUACUGGUCACUACAUGGGUAGUACUGCAGCCUCCUUAUCCCUGCAAAUGUACGUGCACAUGUAUGAAAUAAGUUAAUUGUACUUAAUUUUUUGUAUUACUAGUGGUUUUUUAUCUAUCAAAAUAGCAAAUUUGGACUACAACAGUACAUUAAAAACAUUUACAAGACAACAAAAGAAACAACUUAACAAAAUAUAUUAGCUAUGUAGGGUUUGCGUGUAUGUGUAUUAUUGAUUAACAUCAAUGUCAUUUUCAUUAUUCAAUUACAAAGAAUUUUUCUUCUGAAUUUUUUUUUCUUCAUUUAACAAGCGAUAGUGAAAAUGAAAAUGAUUGAACCUCGCUAGGACUUCCAAUGUGGCGACCACUUGAGCUAUAAAUUUAUUUUCUUUUCUUCAUUAAUAUUAUGUUUCACAAAAGUAUAAAAUAAUAUAGAGACUGGUGGUUCUCAUUCAAGGUAUGGCCAUCCAUUUCACCUGCCUUUUGUGUUACAUAAUACUAAUUGUCAUAAACAUUAGACGGUCUGAAUUUAUAAAAUCAAAUAAUUUGAAAGUUCAUAUCAUUCCAUACUCGUAACAUUUAAUGUUAUAUAUAAACGAAGAAAGUGAAAAGUAUGAAAUGAUAUAUGAAUGGCCAAUGAACAGUGCUUUUCUUCGGUCGUCUUUCCAUCUUUGGGACCAAGAAAGCAACUUCUAGUUGAUUAGAUGGAAAAAGAAAAGAUUUCUAAAGAACACGUAUUAUAUUUAAAUAGUACUCUUAAUAAAUAUUUCUUUUUUGUGAUGUCGACUAGUAAAUUAAGCAAAAAGAAAGAAAAAGAAUAUUUGAUUUCCUUUUUCUUUUUAUCAAAGUGAAAAAGAAGACAAUUAUAAGUCACUACUCACUAGCAAACUUAUUAUGAAAGUGAAAAGGCAUGAAUGUAUUAUGCUCCAGAAGUCAUGCGUGCCUAAAACAUUACCCCACUUCCAUUAUUUGAUUUUCUUUUUCUUUUCAUCAAAUUGUAUUCUAUUUUAUUUGCCAAAGUCUGGGGUGUUUCCCACUUCGAAAAAUAGGGCUAAUCUUCAGUAAAUUCCAAAGGAAAAAGAUUCUUUUAUCUUCUUUUGUUUCUUCCCUUGCUUUUCUUUCUAUUUGAACGGUUAUAGUUAAAUCACGUCAACAUCUUAUAUUAAUUUUUUAUAAAAAGAGAAAGACAAAAUAGAGAGCGUGAGUAGGGGAUGGAAGGAGAUGGAAAGAGGAGGGAAGAGAAUCCUAGUUCAAUUCUAAAACAGAUAAAAACAUUUCAGUCCACCCUUUACAAAUUGCACUAUUUGAUUUCAACUUUGUCAUAUUUGUUGUAAUUUUUUUAGUCCAAUAUCGAUAUUAUCUAUACUAAGGAUUUAGGGAGUGGUAUUGCUAACGUGAUUCAAAUUCGCUUUUGACAAGAAUCAAACUUAAAACCUCUCACUUACAAAUGAAGAUGAAUAUUUUCAAACCGUAUUAUUAAAGGACCAUAUUUAUUGCAAUUAGACCGCUUGGUUAUGUCGACAUCUUUGCACGAUUUGUCAAACAACCCAUUUGGUUUAUUGGGCAUAUGUCUACACUAUGGGGUAAAAAAGGGAGUUAAUCCUUACAAUGAUUAGAUAAAAUGUAUUUCAAUUUAUUUUGACCAAAAUCAAACAUAAAAACUCACAGUCACAUAUGAAGAGGAAUAUCACUAUAUCGUAAUAUUAAGUGACAAUUUUUUAGAAUACUUAAACACAGUCACACGUAUCUAUCUUGUGUCAUUUAAAUAAUAAUUUAAAAGUGAAAUUAUCAAUUUUGUCAUUUAUCUUUAUUAUGAAACAUGAAAUAAUAUACUGUGUAGUUUGUGUUUCUGUAAUCAUAAAAAUUUAUGCAUCAUGGGGUACGUAUAGUUGGUGUGUGCAAAUAUUAAAACAGAGUUGAGAAUCUUCAUAAAUAAAUAAUAGGGGUUUAAGUGCUUUUGCUGCAAGCACUUACAUGAUUUUAGCACCGCUUAAAUUUGGACAAUUGUGAGGACCAGGAGCAUGGUAUGCAACUGCAAGAAUUGUGAGAGCUCCAUGUGUCCCCCCAGCACAAUGCAAGUGUGCCACAUACACCUUCCCUCCCAUUUGCAGGGUCCCCAGAUCGAUUCCAUUCUCGGAAUAAUCAAAAGACAUCACAUGAUCUUCUCUAAACACUUUGUAGAUCUCAACUAAAUUAAAAUAUUUUAAUAAACCCCCCUUUUUCAAUUGUUACAUGAAAUUUACUUUACAGUUUGGUAUUUUCAUAUAAUUGGGGCACACGUAGGGGCACGUAAUAGCUUGUGAUUCAACAACACUUUGUGUUUAUAAUUUUAAUUAUUUAGAUACGUGUCUAUCAGAUUGCUUAAGGGAAGGGAUUCCCAUUUUUUGAAAAAAAUGGGGAUUAGGUGUGGGGCCCACUCCACAUCGAAUUUCAACGAUUUGAACCGUCUAUUUUGUUAGUCUCGAUUCAUAGAUCAUCCUUGCAAAAAUUCAAUUCAAUCCGAAACCGUUUGCCUAUUUAAUUAUCAAUAUCAAAUUUCAUUUUUUCUUAUAUAACAAAGUAUUUGUUCAUUUCCUUAAACCCAAUUAGAUGUCUUAAACAUUUCCGAUUUAGCUAAUAUUUUGUAAGGAUGAUCUAUGAAUCGAGACUAACAAAAUAGACGGUUCGGAUCGUUGAAAUUCGAUGUGGAGUGGGCCCCACACCUAAUCCCCAUUUUUUUCAAAAAAUUGGGAUCCCUUCCCUUAAGCAAUCUAACGUGUCUAUUUAUGAUUGAGUAAAAAUAAAAGUUGUUAAAUUUAUAGCAACCAAGUAGUGUUCCACAUAAUUUCUUGAAUGAAUAACAAUACAUCCUAUUAUUUUUUUUGUUUACAAACCAAUGACAUGAAUCAGUUGUUCAUACUUACACAUGCUUAACUAUUUCAAAAGUGAGACAUUUCAUGAACUCUUUGUCACCUUAUGUUUUAACAUAAUAUUUUAUAAUGUUGGCACGGUAACGUUAAAUUGCGAGAUGACUUAUAAUUCAUAUAAAGUCUCACUUUCAUCUAUGCUACACAAGACAUGUUAAGGGAAUUCUGUCCAAAGUGGAACUCUUCAUAAACUCUCUACCACUUCACAGUUUAACGUCUACUCUCCUACCAACAUUAUAAAGUAUUGUGUCUGUUGAUGCACAAAAUCAGUGGGGACUUUGGUACAACAGAAAGUGUUAAGUUUGUGACCUUAGCUAGAUUGAUCCGGUCACUAGUGUGGAUAAGUAUGUAAAUGGAUAGAGACAGGGAAGCAAACACAAGAUGUACGUGGUUCACCCAGAUUGGCUACGUCCACGGAGUAGAGGAGUUCUCAUUAAUUGUGAGGGGUUUACACAAGUACAUAGGUUCAAGCUCUCUUUUAGUGAGUACUAGUUAAUGAUUUAGUACAAAUGACAUUAGGAAAUAUUGUGAGAGAAUCAUCUAUAUUUAUAGAAGAGAGUUUCUAGUUUCAUUCUGACAUUGACACGUGUCAUGUUGUGAUUGGCUUCUGAUGUUGACACGUGUCGCGCUAUGAUUGGCUUCUGAUGUCGACAAUGUCGCGCUGUGAUUGACCUCCUGGUUGGAGGGAAACUCUUCUAGGUCCUUGAUAGUAUAACGUUGACCGGUGCUCAGUAGUUUCGGGAUUAGUCAAGUAUGGUACAAACAGUGCUCCCCUAAGUUCUCGAGUGAAGGAAGUUCCUCGGUUGAGGACUUGCAAGAUCCAAGCCAUUGAGUAAUCACAAAACUUCUAAGUACCGAAGUGUGGUAUCAUUUUCACUUGCCUUAUGUGUCUCAUACGUAGAUGUGACAUUUUCUCUGGAAGUACUUUUCCUCCAUCCAGGGGUGAUAUCUUUAACCGAUGAAGAUGCACAAGGUAAUGUAUCAAUUUCACUUGAAGCUUACUUGUAGUUUCGGGCUUGGUCAAGUGCGAUACAAAACCCUACAGUAGGAGUCCCCCAAGUCGCCGAGCUAGGAGAUUUGCCGAAAGAGGUAACAAACAAGGUAAGCAAUCAGACUUCUAAGCAAGCAAUCUGGAUCAGAGGUUUGACUUCGGCUUCCGGUUGAUUGUUCUUCUUCUCCUUGUGUCGUAAACAGCAACAAGGAUAAGGAGAAGCAAAUGGAGAAGAGAUGAUAUGAGAUACUUUUGCUUUUGAAGAAGUAACUUUCCACAAGCUUAUUCUUGAAUUGGGCUUGAGGGUUUUCUGGUUUCCUCCAGAGUAUAAGGCCGACUCAAGAAUUUGAGGGUCAAAACAAGUACAUCAAAUCAAUAGUGCGUUCGACCUUAAUGAUAUGGGAUACUUUUGCUGUUGACGAAGUAAUAGAUGAAUCGGCAUGUGUUCUGUUGUGCUUGUCUCCACAUGCUUCCUUGUAUCCUUCUCACUUGCCUUAUAUGUUCCUCAAACAGAUGUGGUAUCUUUUCUGGAAGCAUAAGAUGUUGAAGAAGAGCACUCGAGAGCAAUGCCAGGUAAGUAGUCAGGCAAGAGGUUCCAAGCAGUCAGUUCCUGACUUGAAACUUAAUUCCAAGUGCUGACUGAUUGUUCUCUUUCUCUUUGUCUUGCAGGUAAGAACAAGGGUAAAGGAAAAGAUAGGGAAAAAGCAUGAUAUGAGAUACUCUUGCUUUUGACCUUGAUGAUAUGAGAUACUCUUGCUCUGGUGUGGCUAGUUUGCAUAGGUAUUAUUGGGGGGAAGAAAGCUGAGUAUUUCGAGAGGCUUCGUUGGGAGUGCCCUCUCAGAUAUGAGGAAGGGUUGAGCAUUUUUGCAGAUCUGCCUGUCCGUGGAGGAUGGAGGUCGACAUAUAUAGGAGUUUCCCUAACAACAAGUAGUAAUGCUAUUCCUUUACCCUUUUUGGUUGUAGCAAUGUAGUGGGAGCUGCAAGCUUCACGUGUUUUAACUUUGUAAAAGCACUUUGAAAAAAUGGUAUGCGGUAUCUGGAAAACUGGUGUUGCGUGUGAAUAUUGCAUACAAGCUUUAUCCAAGGAAAUCUGAUUCUCGAAGUUCGGAGAGCGAUGCCUCUUCGGUUUUCAAACAAGCAAUCCUGUCGGGGAUCUGGCUCUCGAGAUUCGGAGAACAGUGCCUCUUCGAUUUUUGCGAAAGCAAUCAUGUUGGGAGUUUGGCUCUUAAGAUUUGAAGAGAGGUGCCUCUUCGAUUUUUGAGAAAGUAAUCCUGUUGGGAGUCUGGCUCUCGAGAUUCGGAAGGCGGUGCCUCUUCAAUUUUUGAGCAAGUAAUAAUGUUAUUCCUUUACCCUUCUUGAUCAUAGCAAUGUAGUGGGAGCUGCAAGCUUCACAUGUUUUAACUUUGUCAUAACGCUUUGAAAAAGUGGCAUGCGGUAUCUGGAAAGCUGAUGUUGCGUGUGAAGAUUGCAGACAAGCUUUAUCCAAGGAAAUCUGAUUCUUGAAGUUCGGAGAGUGAUGCCUCUUCGGUUUUCGAACAAGCAAUCCUGUCGAGGAUCUGGCUCUCGAGAUUCGAAGAACAGUGCCUCUUCGAUUUUUGAGCUUCUAGCUCAUUGACUUUAGCUUGAAGAGCAACCCUCUUUCCUUCAUUCUUUCGUUGUUUCGCACUAGGUGCAAGAGGGGUGUCAUUCUGUGUGUUGUGGCUUCCUUCGCUCUCCAUGUUGGAGAUGGAUGCCUGGUCAAAAGAAAGCGUACGAAUUGUGGAAACCAGCUUGACAAAGCUGAAGAGAGUGGGAAUAAGCGUCGUUCCCACAGACGGCGCCAAAUCUUGAUGCACAAAAUCAAUGGGGACUUUGGUACAACAGAAAAUGUUAAGUUUGUGACCUUCGCUAGAUUGCUCCGGUCACUAGUGUGGAUAAGUAUGUAAAU
rnacentral:lncRNA from 1 species